rnacentral:lncRNA from 1 species
AGGGUUUCUUGAUGACAUAGUAACUAAUCUAAUCAAGAUUAGAAACAGAAUUUAAAGAAAGAAUCUUUCCUUACGGCAAAAAAAGAAUAACAAAUAGAUCAUUAUCUAUCAAUACCAAUCAGAAUCAAUUAGAGAGAAAAACAAAAGAAUAUGGAAAAUCUCAAGGAAAAAGAAAUGGGCGUGAUUUGUGAUUUCGGAUCAGAUUUGGAAUCUUUCGUUCAUAAAAUCAAAUGGGUUUCAACUGAAUAUUAAUGGAUGUUGAAGGAUUGGAUUGAUUGAGAAGAAGAGUCUAGGGAAUGCCUUGGGGAAAAGGACGACGAAGAAGGAGGCGCUUUCCUUCAGCGGACCGACUCAUGUAUUCCUCUGUGGGCCAGAGCACUGAGAUAAUUCUAAGUUACAGCUUCCUGAUUAUGUUGGGAAGAAUCAAGGCCAUUGACAUCGUCUAAUCAAAGGUAGAACGUAGAAAAUGGGCCUAGACCGUUCCAUCAAAAUCAUCGAUAUGUUGUACCUCUGUGGAUAUUUUAACGGGUCGGAUCCAGACUACGGAUGGAUGCAAAUGCAAAUUCAACUAAUGCUUAUUAAGGCUCUAUUUCAUAAUUUAAUUUAACACUUAAAUUUCAUAAUUUCAUAAUUUAACAUAUUCAAAUAUGUUUGAAUUGCCUGUACAAAACUUAUUUAAAAAAAUAAGUGAUAAAUUAUUCAUUAAUCACUUCAUAUAUAAUACUUUCAAAUGUUAGGAUUGCAUCAUUUAAUGAUGGAAAACUUGCUCAAGUGGUCCUGUACAUAUUGCAGAUGUGAAAAUUUAGUCACUCAGAAUGAAAAGGAGUGAUCUCAGUCCUUAACUAAUAAAAAAAUAUCAAUUUUAAUCCCAAGCACUUUUCCGUUUGAAUUCUUGACGGAAUUAGUUAUGUGCGCACCAUGCGACUAAUUUUUAAAGGGUAAGUAAGACAUAUCAAUGGGGUGUUGACUGAAAAUGUGAGGGAUCAAAAGAGUUUCUACUUCAAUCUCCUUCAAUAAUUAAAAACCCUAAAUCCAAUUAGGCUGGCCAUGGUAAAACCACCACUUUAUGGUUGCGGUGUACCAGCGAGGAUGAAGACUUCGUGUACAGCUGAAAACCCAAGGAAGAAGUUCCAUGGCCGUGCAUAUUAUGAAGUAAAAUCUUUCAUUUUCCUUGGAGUUCUAUGGCCGUGCAUUGUUUGUUUGGGUUGUGAAUUAGGUGCCUCGAAUGUAGUGUUGUUAGUUUUUGGUUUUAGUGAAUAUAAUGCAGUUAAAGAGAAUUGACUGUACUAUUGUCUGAUAAUUGCUCCCAGGAAUUUCGAAUCUGGAAUGCUGUAUUAAUUGUUUCACAGCUGAUUUUUUUUCAUUGAGAUUCAAUCAUGCAGAAAAGGCCACCUUGGAGACGACAUUGAAAAUCUGAUCAUAGACAUGAAACAAUGAAGUAUUAAGAGCAUCGAUUUUAUUACUCCAAAAGCAACAACAACAACAAAGAGCAUCAAUCCUUAUUAUGAUUCAAAUACACAUACGUAAGCUGGGAUAUUGAUGUUGUACUCUUCAUUCAUUGGCCUAGUUGGGCUCUCCAACAAAUUCUACCUUCAAUCAACGAUUUCCCUCGGCUUGAUUACAGUCCGCACUACGAUUUUGCAAUUUUAGAUUUUGCGAUUUUUACGAUGUGAUGUAUUUAAGAUUAAAAAAGUUAUUAAGAAAAUAAAAAAUUGAUUGAAAAUUAUAAUUGUGAUGCAAGCAAAAUAAUAUUUAUAAAAAAUAUUGCUAUCCAACCACACUCUAGGUACACAUGAGUAAGAUAAAUUUCUACUUUCUAUUACUUUAAUUUGACAUGCAAAAGACAAAAACCUCACCACAAAUGAUCGUGGAAUACUUAGUGAACUAUCAAAUACAAGAAUUCAAAAUCUCUAAGCCAUAAAUAGAAAUUCAAGUAGUAUAUCAUAAAAAAUAGUUUGGCAAUAACUCAGAAAAAUUUGAAUAUGUUAUGAAACAACUAAAAAUAUGAAUGUCCAAUUUAUUUCCCGAACAAGAUUGAUGCAUGUAUUCCCCUACAAGAUUUAUCUGGUUCACUUAUCACUUCAUGGAACAACUAAAUUUAUCAUCCUGAAAAUUCUAAAUUCAUAUAUAAUCAUUAAUAGUAGUUCAUGUACCAAGGUUCUUGUAUUGCCUAUAAAUAGAGGUAGACUAAACUCUCUUAUAACAACUUUUGAACAUUUGAGUAAAUAAUAGAAUAUUCUCUAUUCUUUUUACUUCUUAUUUCUAUUCUACUAUUUCAAUCUCUACUUUUAAUAGUUUAUUUCAUUAUUUCACAACACAUUAUCAAUAUGAGUCUCUAUUUUUUAACAAAGGUGAAACACUACACUCUAUCAUUGGAGCAUACAAUUGCAAGACCGAGCAUUGGAUUAAUUGAUGCGCAUGUAUUUGUACUUUUUGAUGAACUUUUGAGGCAAUAUUUCUCUAUCCUAAUUCAUUUCACUUUUUUAUGGCUACUGAUAGGUUGCAUUUUUGUUAUUAAAUUUAUGAUUAUUCUCUCCUUGAUUUUAGCCAAAUAUUGUGUUAAUUGAUAAAUUCUAUUUAUAUUUGGUAUUUGGCGUUGAUUGUAGAGAAGCGGAGUAAAAAGUGGUUCAAGGAGCAAUUUUUUUAGAAGAUUAUGAACUAGUUUGAUGUGGACGCGGUAAAAAAUUACUGUCAAGUCCCAGAGGCUCGAGAUUUUCCUGCGCAUAGAAGUUUCCUAAUCCAAAUCAGAUUUCAAGCAAGACAUUUGGCUGAAAAUUAAAAGAUUUCUUUCUUACUAGAUGGAUUAUUUUAUUGGAUUAAUCUUGUAUAUACUGUCAGUGUAUACAUUAUCACCGUUAGAUGAAUGACACAUAUGUAAAUUUGAAUUUAAAAUUCAAUUUUUGCUCACGUGUCAUGCAUCUAACAGUGAUAGUUUAUACACUGUCAGUGUCUAUAAGAUUUACUCUAUUUUAUUUAGGAAACAAUUAACAUUAUCUUUUGAGAUUUUCCCUUUUCAAGUAGGAAGUUUAUUUUAUGUUAAAGACUAAAAAGUAGGAAAUCACUAAUUAGGUCUGCCAGUUUCUGAGUGAUUAAUACUUCCGAAAGAAACGAGUGUUUGCUGACGAGAGACUUGAGAAAGGAAAGAAACAAAAAGGCUCCGUUCUUUUUCCUCUUGAAAAGAUGAUGGCCUCGGUUCUUCUUUUGGUCUUCUCCUAAGCCGCAUGUAUCCAGCAACUCAUCAAACCUUUGCGUUGGGAUUUUUCUCAUCCAUGAGUAGUUAAAUUUCUUUUUCUAGUUAAGAACCAACGGUGGAUUUGGUUCAUCUAAAAUUGUGAGAUCGAAUUGAUUAUAUUUAUUUAUUUUAUUUACUGGUAUUCGUAUUUUUCUGAUUUAAUUCUUAUGGUUAUUAUGUUAUUUGAAUAGAUUAAUCUAAUAAUCUAAAAUCAAUUAGAGCAUUUAAAUCUAUAAUUGUUUAAUUACUUUAAACUAGUAGUGACUGACAUGAUUGGGUUUGCAUCAGAGGGACGUAUGACUAAUUUAAAAUAACGCUCGUAGUGUAGUGUGUUAUUUGGUUAGAACAGAACUUUUCUAAUUCUUAAGGUAAUUAAAAAAUUGAACUCUAAGGUCGUAGUUAGAGUUAUUUCUUGAUUAGGACAGUGGUUAAUGGUUGUACCUUAAUCACCAAUACAAUAAGGAGAAAUUGAUUGUCAUCACUUGUUUGGCAGUUAUAACUUGUUUAUCAGCGAGUAAAUGAAAUUAUUAUUGCAUUGAUGAUCAAUUAAGUGAACCGUUUCCGAAGUUAUUUCUUGACUAGAGUUUAUUUAUUAUUGUUUCAUUGUUAAUCAAUUAUCAGUUAGGCCUUUUUAUUUGAGUUGUUUAAUUAUUCUGAUUUUUUAAUAAAAAUUUCGUUUUCUCUAAGCUCUAGAAGAAACAAAUUUUCUCCAGUCCCUGGGAAUUUAACCAUGCUCACCGCUAUAUAUAAAAUUUGUAUUUUUAUUGGAGUAGGUAUUUAUUAUUGUACAGGAUCAACACCUGUCAACUAACUUUACCAAACAAAAAUUUGUACCCCUUAAUAAUUUCUAAGAAGAAUUACUUAUUAUGGACACUAUAUGUGAAAAUUCAUCUUGAGGAAAUGGCCAAUUAGUCUUGAAAAUACUAUUAUUGAAAACAAUGAUAGUUCAAACCAAUACCAGGCCAAGGCUAUGGUAUUUCUUCAUUAUCAUCUGGAUAAAGGAUUGAAAACUGAAUAUUUAACUGUGAAAGACUCACUUGUUUUGUGGAAUAAUUUGAAAGAAAGGUUUGACGACCUGAAGUCGGUCUUUCUUCCAAAAGGCGAGUAUGAUUGGCUCAAUCUAUAACUGCAAGAUUUCAAAACUGUUGGUGAGUAUAAUUCAACAAUGUUUAGAAUUACUUCUCAAUUGAAAUUGUGUGCCGAAGAUAUAAUUGAUGAAGACAUGAUAGAAAAAAUUAUUUCCUACCUUUCAUGUCUCCAAUAUGCUUCUGCUAUGACAAUAUGGUGGAAAGGCUUUUAAGAAGCAUUUUGAAUUUAUUGCAUGUUUUUUUUUUGGGUUGAACAAAACAAUGAACUACUGUUGAAAAAUCUUUAGUCUUGACUAACUAAUACUAGUCCAUUAUUUGAAAUGAAUGCAACUCAAUCUUAUAAUUUUGAUUGUAAUUGUGGACGUGAAUGUGGCCAUGGAGGAGGUUGAGAACGUGGCCAUAGUCGUCGUGAACAUAGCAUGAUAGAUAUGUGCCUUAUAAUGAUCCUAAACGUGGAAAGAAACAUGAUAACCCCAAUAAUGGGUCAAUAGUGAUAAAAAAAUAUGAAAAAAUAAUAAUAAUAAGGAUAAAUGCUAUCAAUGUAACAUGAAAAAGGUCAUUGAUCGCGUACUCAUCCUAUGGCACACCACCUUGUUGAAUUUUGUCAAGCAUCACUAAAAAAGAAAGACGAAGAUGCUAAGAUAAAUUUUAUUGAUCAAAAGAAUAUCGAUGAUGAUUGUGAUACUGAUGGAACACUGAUGAUAUAGCGGAUUUCCUUGAGCAGCUAGAAGAUGAAAAAUGAUCAGAUGCCAAAUACCCAAUAUUUACUUGGAAUUUUUGCAUCUUUGUAUAAGUUCCUUCAUGAGUUAUGUCAUUUAUGAACUUUCCUAAUAUUUACUUUUAUUUGUAAUUUUCUUUGUUAUUUCUUCUUGAAGAAGAAAUAGAUGUCAACUAUUUGGGAUCAAAGAACUAUGGUGAUGAUGACAUAUGUCUCAUUAAUAGUGUUACUACGCAUACUAUAUUCUUAUUUGGAAAUAAGAGAGACAAACAGCAUCAAUGGUAGUGCUAAAUUGGUUGAAAAUUUGGAAGAGCCACUACUGUAUUUCUUCGCAAAGAAAAGAUUGUUACUUAUAAAUAAGAGUAAAUCUUAUAUACACUAACAGUGUAUACACUAUCACUAUUAGAUUCAUGACACAUGUGCGAAAAUUGAAUUUCAAAUUUAAAUUUUGUAUAGUUGUCAUUCAUCCAAUGCUGACGGUACACCGUCAGUGUAGGAAAUAUUAAUCCUAUAAAUAAAGCACUACUCUCUACCAAGUCUCGAAGAAUUUAUUGAAUUUUAAAGAUAUCUGCUAAAAUGGUCAUCAUAUCAAGGUACUAAAUGAGACAAUAAUAGAUAUCAUGUUUAGAGAUCAAGUAAGAUAAAGGUUGAUUAUAUCACAAAAAACAUUCAAGGUGCAAAUGGUUAUUGAUAUAGGUGUCUUCAUUCUCAUUUGAUUUAUAAUUAAUUCAAAAUUAUCACCUAUGCCAAACCAGAAACUUAUUGAUCUUGAUGAAUUUAUGAUUUGACAAAAAGUAAGGAUUUGUAUGACUUUAAGAGCCAACAAGUUCUUAACCAUACCCCUUUUGUAUUAUAUAUGGCUCCAACAGAAAUUUGAAAAUUUGUGUCAGGUAUGAAUCACCUUACGAUUAGACAUUGUGACAUAUUGAUGGGUAAUCUAUUUAUUGAAUAAUUUAUUGAUAUUGUGAUGAACUACAAUUCCUGAUAUUAGGGGAGAGAAAAUGAUCAACAAAAGAAAAUCAUUUGAAAAAUGCUAUUGGAUUUCCUCAUCCUCAAAAUAAUGUGAAUUGGAAGUUUAAAAUAUUAUUUGUUUGCAAAAAACUGUAAAUCAAUUAUUAAAUAUAUUUGUAAUAUGUUCCAAUUUACCUUUAGAAAUGAGGCAGAACAGGAGCAAGUUCUGAAUGGUUGGCCAUGGAUUUUUGAUGGGCAAGCUCUUGUGCUGCAACUAUGGAGGGAAGGAAUUGAAGACGACUCAGAGGCCUUUCAAUCAACUUGAUUUGGGUACAAAUCUGGAAUUUACCGAUUCACUGGCUCACAAAGGAAGUAGGCAAGAAAAUAGGUCAGGUUUUCUCUGCAGUCAAAGAGGUUGUUAUCCCUAACACAGGAAGCAGAGAUGGUAGAUAUAUGAAAAUUCUGGCUGAAAUUGAUUUAACACAACCAAUUGUGGGGAACUAUGGUUGACAUGAAUGGAAUGACUAAAUGGAUUGCUUUCAAAUAUGAAAGAUGCCCUGAUUUCUGUUUUAAUUGUGGAAUAAUUAGACAUAAUGAGAAGAACUGCAAAUGGAAAACCUUGAUAAAUCACCACAAUAUGGUAAUUGGCUUAGAGCCAGUUUCCCUAGAAGCCCCUAAAAAAAGCCACACAAUGCCAGAACUACAAUACUCUACAAAGAGAGGAAGAGGUUGCACAGUACAAGGCCGAAGUUAACAAAGAGAAUGGAAAGUUUCUCAUGACUUAUGGCUAUAUCAACAGAGAUGGUAAUGGGGUGAAUGAGGAGGAAAGUGCGCAGGGGAUAGGGGAAAACGCUAGCUGUAAUGGCGAAGUAUAUAGGGACAAGAAGGAGCAAGGAAGGAGGAAGACAAGUGGUACCAAACUAGAAGUGAAGGGACAUGACGUUAUGGAUAGUAUAAACAGGAAGUCAAUAGAGAAUGUUAAGACAAUGCUACCCGUGAAUGUGGAGCUAGUAGAAGGACUGGAAGGCUGUAGCGGAAAAGAGGGGGUUCGGGUAUUAAAGAUUGGGGAACAGUCUCUAGGAAGGAGGUGUGUGAAACACAAGAAACGGGCCAGCUCUAGGAUUGUAUGUGGAUAGAUGGUGACGAAAUUUGUACCACCCGAAAACCAGUUAAACAAAAUGAAAUCCUCACUAUAAAAAAGGAUAGUAAAAUGACACUAGGGAAACAGCAGUGGGACCACAAGAAGAAGAAGAGGAAGAUACUGGAAAAGAAUUUUUCAAGAGGUAGGCAGGAGGAAGCUCCCAAGAGAGUUAAAGACUAGACAGGAGCCGGACGUGGGACCAGAAAAAAUGAACUUCUCUCUAGUAGAUGGAAACGGUAUGACUGAUGAGGACACAAACCAGAAGAAAAAAGGUAAAAUUUUGAACGCCGGAUAUCAAUCUCUCUCUGAUACAGGUGGAGGAGCCCAACCUAAAAGAUGAUCCAAUGAUCCUAUGAAAGCUCUGGUGUGGAAUUGUCGAGGAACAAGGAGCCCUUUGACAGUUCCCAACUUAAGGAGCAGUGUUCCUCCACUCCCCUCAACUUAUUUUUCUGUCUGAAACAAAAAACAAAAAAGUGUUUAUGAAUAAAAUCAAGAUGCAGAUAAAGUUUGAUAAACUAUUUGUUGUUGAUCCUGUGGGUAGAUCUGGGGCAUGACUGUUUUCUGGAGGGAUGAUUUGAAGAUUGAUAAAAAAUUUUACACAGACUUUACCAUUGAAUUGCUGAUCGUUAACACUGAUAGAAAGUUUAGUUGGUGGUGUGUAUGUGUUUAUACAAAUGUUGAUGACACCAUUAGGGAAUUUCAGUGGGACACUAUAACACAAAGGAAGCAAAUUUGGGGUAUGACUUGGAUACUUGUGGAGGAUAUGAAUGACAUAGCCUCUAACAAGAAGAAAUGGGGCGGUAACAGUAGACCAGAAAGCAGCUUUAGAGUGUUUAGGAAUUUCAUUAAUAAGAACCAGCUGAUUGAUUUGGGGUUUGAGGGAGUACCUUGGACCUGGUGUAACAAUUAAAUAGAGUAAGGGAAAGAUUAGAUAGAGUUUUAUGUAGUAAAGGCUGGGUGGGUUUAUAUGAUCAAGCAAAGUGUAGGCACUUAUUCAAGGAACAUUUGAUCAUUGCUUACUCCUGCUUGAUACACAACUAGCACUGAGGAAAUGGAAAAAAUGGUUUCAGUUUGAUAAGAGAUGGACCGAGCAUACAGGUAUAAAGGAAGUCAUCAGUCAAGCAUGGAAGGGGGAACAGGAGGGGUCCAGAUUAUAUAAGUUACAACAGAAGAUAAUAAAUUGCAGGCUGGCAUUAUUGGAGUGGAGCAGGAAACUCAAAACAAAUACCAAAAAGGAAAUUCAGAGGAUACAGAAGGAGAUAAAGGAGGUCCAAGGCAGUAACAUGGAAAACAGAAAGGAGGAACUUGCCCAGUUAAAAAAGAAUCUUGAGGAAGCCUACAGGAGAGAGGAAAUCUAUUGGAGUCAGAAAGCUAGAGUCAAGUGGCUAAAGGAAGGAGAUAAAAACUCUUCAUACUUCCAUACGAGUGUGGCUGUAGAAGAAAGAAAAAUAAUAUAACUACAUUCUAAAGAGAAUAUGGGAGUUGGUGUGAGUCUGAGGGAGAGGUGCAAGGAGAUAUAACGUAGUACUUCACGAAUAUCUUCACUACUUCAAAUCCAAGGGGAGAGGGUGAGCUUUUAAGGAACGUUCCACAGACUAUCUCUAACCAGAUGAAUAGGAGACUAAUCAGACAAUAUCUGAAGCUGAGAUAAAGAAAGCAGUGUUCUCCAUGUAUCCAAAUAAAGCACCAGACCUGACGAUAUGUCCCCUUUCUUUUUCCAAUGACUUUGGAAUAUCAUUAAAAAUGAUGUGAUAAGAGCUGUCCUGAGUUUCUUUCGCCCUGGUAAAAUUCUGAAAGCCUUUAAUGAAACCCUCAUUUCCCUGAUCCCUAAGGUAAAGCACCCAAUUUUUGUGUCUCAACUUAGCCUAUCAGUCUGUGCAAUGUGUUCUACAAAAUCAUUAGUAAGAUACUAGUUAAUAGACUAAAGCCUAUACUGGGACAGUGUGUAAGCCAAAAUCAAUCAGCUUUUGUGCCUAGACGACAAAUCAUUGACAAUGUCUCAUGGCUCAUGAAUACAUCCACAGGUUAAACAGAAAAAGAAAUGGAAAAGAAUCUUACAUGGCAAUAAAAUUGGACAUGUCAAAAGCCUAUGAUCAUGUAGAAUGGGGCUUCUUAGCCAAGAUCAUGGAAAAAAUGGUUUUUGUAUGUACUGGAUCAAAUGGAUUAUGGAAUGCAUAACUACUAUUUCGUAUAGUGUGAACAUAAAUGGGAGAAAAGAGGCUAGAUUAGACACCAGAGGAAUAAGACAAGGAGACCCCUUAUUCCCAUACCUCUUUUUAAUUUGUGCAGAAGGUUUUACUAGUCUCCUACACCGGGCAAUGGAUAAACACCAAAUUUCGGGUAUGAAAAUUGCUCAAAAAGGCCCUACUCUAACCCAUCUCUUCUUUGCAGAUGACUCUCUAAUUUUUUGUAAAGCAAGCGUGCAGGAAGCAAAAGCAGCAGUACAGGUGAUAGAGGAUUAUGGAAAAGCUGGCCAAGUGAGCAAUGCUGAUAAAUCCUCAAUCUUUUUUAGCAAGAAUAUGAGGAGGAGGAAGUAAGACAGCAGAUUCUACAGGUAAUGGGUGGAAUGAAACAGGUAAAGAAGAGUCAAUACUUGGACUGCCUAUGGUGAUUGGGAGAUCAAAAAGUGCAGCUUCAAAUAUAUCAAAAAAGAUCGCAAGGAAACUGAACCACUGAAAGGAAAGGCUGCUCAGUCCAGCAGGGAAAUAAGUGCUACUCAAGUUAGUAGCAAUAGCCAUGCCGGCUUAUGCAAUGAAUUACUGCAAGCUACCAAAGGGGUUAUGUAGAGAGAUUAGUAGUGGAAUGGCAAAAUUCUGGUGGGGUGAGGGAGACAAAGGUAGGAAGGUACAUUAGGUUAGCUGGGGGAAACUAUUAGAGGUAAAAGGGAAAGGGGGACUGGGAUUUAUAGAAAAUAGAGAGUUUUAAUGAUGCUAUGCUAGCCAAAUAGCUCUGGAGGAUAAUGUCACAGCCGAAUUUGCUAGUAAGUAGGAUUUUGAAAUCCAGGUACUACAAAGGGAAAUCUUUAUGGGAAAUGGAACCCAGGCCAUCAGAUUCUUGGAUGUGGAGAAGUUUACUUAGUUCCAGGUAUGUACUAGAGUCAGGAAUAAGGAAAAGGAUUGGUGAUGGGAAGAUUGUUAACAACCGGAAUGACAGAUGGCUGCCAAAGGAAGGAAUGGAAAGGUCAGGACAAUAAGGACGGGAAAGAGUAGAGUGCAAAAGGUAAGUGAGCUUAUAAAAAAUGGGGAAUGGGACCAAAGAUUGCUACAAGAGAUAUUUCAGGAAAGAGAUGCCAAUGAGAUCAUGACAAUUCCCAAGUAAAACAGGGAGGAGGGAUAAUUUGUACUAUAUAGGGAAUAAAAAAGGAGUUUAUAGUGUAAAAUCUGGGUACAUGUGGGUGAAACAGAUGCACACGCAAAGGAGAAAGCAACAAAGGGGUGAAGCAAACCAGAGUAAGAAUCUGCAGAGAUCUAGAGUUUGGAAGUAAUUAUGGGGGCUCAAUAUGAAGCACAAACUAAAACAUUUCAUAUGGAAGUGCUUACGAAGGGUACUACCUGUCAAUGAAGUAGUGCUGAGAAUAACUGGUAAAAGAAGUCCUAUGUGCAACAGAUGUGGAGAAGUUGUGGAGACUAUAGAACAUAUGUUGUUCAUGUGUGAUAAAGCUACUUUGACUGGAAAGCUGAACCAUUACAGUGGGAUGGACUAGAGGGGUUUAGACAUUCCUUCUGGCAUUGGUGGGAAGAAUUGAGGCAAGCAACAAAGAAGGAGGAUGGGCGAGACCAUAUUGUUUUGACAUCAAACCUGCUAUGGCAGAUUUGGAAAGCAAGGAAUGAGAGGCAUUUUAAUGGGUUGCAAAGGGACCCUUUCCUUCCAGUUAACAAAACUGUUGAAGAGUGGAAGGAAUACCAAGAAACAACAAGGAGCCAGGAGGAGGAAGAAAGGAGGAGGACUGGAGAAAGGACUGACUGUGAAACAUGAAAACCCGCAGAACAAAGGAGCAUCAAGCUCAACACCGAUGCAGCUUUCAACAGAAAUGUGAUGAAGGCAGGAUAGGGAAUUGCUGCAAGAGAUAACAAAGGUAGGUUACUAGCAACAUGGGCUGUCCCAAGAUUGUGUAGUAGGAAUGUCAAGAUGGAGGAAGCCAUGGCUAUAAGGAGAGCAGUGGAAUUAGCUACACUAGAAGGUUGGGAAAGGGUACAGAUUGAAUCAGAUAGCAAGGAGAUUGUGGAAAAACUAACGAAGAAAGACUGGAACGAUAAGUGGAUUGGUAUGAUACUGGAAGACAUCUUUAGGAUGAGCUGUUUCUUUGAGAAAUGUUGUUUUUCUUUUGUCAAAAGGAAUUGCAACUUUGUUAGUUAGUCUUUGGCACAUUUUGCCAUUAAUUGUUGUGAGAAAACCUCUUGGAGGACUCUUUCCCUGCCUGGUUAAUGCAUGCAACCAGGGAAGAUUUUGAGAGCAGCUGCUCACUCUUUUGUACUUAAAAUUUUGUUUGAAUAAAAUACAUCUGUCGCUUUUGGAAAAAGAAUUUAUCAAAUAUACUUAUUGAUUCCAAAAGCAUUAUUAAAUCAAAUAUUUGUGCUAGAAAUACUCUAGUUAAAAUUGAUGUUUCUGAAGGAUACGUAUAAGCGUUAUGAAUGAAUUUAAAGCCGACCUAACUAAAUAAGAUAUAAAAUUAAUUUCAAAUAUCUUUGGAGAUGAAAUAAAUGUGAUGACAAAACUCAACCUCUUGAAGAGCCAACUCCUGAACAAUUUACUCCUGAAAGAAUAAAAUUAUAGAAAAUUUCAGUUGAAUCCUAAAUGAAUAGAAAUAAAUAUGUUUAUACUUAGUGUAGCACUUGACAUUAUGAAAGAAAAUAAAGAUGUUGAAAAUAUAUCGGUUGAUGAAUGUCGAUAUUGAAAUGAUUGGCCAAAAGGAAAAAUAGGAUUCCAUUAGCAUCAAAUUGGCACAAUGACAAGUCUUUGGACUUGUAUCCCAAAAUACCCAAAAGGGUGUAAAGCCAGUCGAAUAUAAAUGUUCGUAUUAUAUAUGUUAAUAAUCUCAAUCUAAUUGAAACUCUUGAAGAGUUACUAAAAGUUGCAGAAUAUUUUUUAAAAGCAUUGAAAUCAAAGGGUUUGGAAGAACAAAAUUUUGCGUUGGUUUAUAAAUUGAGUAUAUAGAAAAUGAGAUUUUUAUCCACUAAGUUGAUUAUACGUAGAAGGUAUGAAAGUGGAUUUUAUAUGGAUAAAAUACAUUCAUUAAGCAUCCUGGAAAAAAUCCUUUUAGACUAUAAGAGGGAAAUAAAGAGAUUCAAGGUCUUGAAAUACCUUAAUUUAGUGCAAUUGUUGUGCUUAAUUUAUCUUGCGAAUGACACACAAUCUAAUAUAUAUAAUGUUAUUAGCAAGAUUUAGUUUCUCUUUUUAACGAUGACAUUAGAAAGUGAAAAUCUAAUAGACCUAUUUACCAAGAUGAUUGACAAUUUCUUGCAAGUACACAGGGUCGAUCGUAGUAAUAAAUUAUCUGGAGUAUUUUAGGGUCAAAUUCACAGGGCCAAGUUAAUUUCUCUACUUUAAUUAUUAUGAAAACAACAAAAUUUAAAUUCCAAGGGAUUGUAAUGCCUAACUAAGAAAUAAAAAUAAAUGACCAAAUCAAAUAAUAUAUAGUUGAGAAAACGAUUGGCAAUAAACUAAGAUUUCAGAUUUUUCUAAAGUUUAAAUUCACCCAAUUAUUUUCUUAACAAGUCAAGAACAUAUCACGCAAAGAUACUUUAGAUUAUCUCUCAAUACAUCUAAAUUAUACCUAAUUAAAUCUCACGUCUCUCUUGAGAUCAUAAGUAUUUAAUUAAACCCUUUAAAAUUUUAAGCGAUAUAAUUAUGUCAUACAAACCCUAACCUACUUUUGUGAUUAGACUAAGUAUAUUUGUCUAUUUAAUACAUGGUUGUAUAUUCCUUCCCAAUUCAAUAUAAACCCUAAGUGCAUGUCUACUGGUGGCCAAUCACAAUCAUAUAAUUAAGUCAAGAUAAAUAAAUCAAGGCAAAAGUCAAUAAUUUAACUGGAAUAAAUAAUCAAAUCUCUUUUACAUAACCUUAGGCGCAAUUUAAUUCAACAUAAUCAUUGAUAAAUCCAAAAUUCAAUGAAAAGAUACAAAUAAGAAGAUAAAAGUAAAGAAAACUUCUCAAUUUUGUCUCCUCCAAUCUCUGUAUUGAUCUUUCUCUUUGAUUCUUCCACGCUUCUUUCUUGAUCUCUCAAGGAAAAUAUGUAAAAUGGAUGAACUAAACCUUGGCCUAAUGUUUUUCUUCUCUAAAAAUGACCCAGAACACUCCUAUCUAUAAUUUCUUAAAAUAGUAUCACAAACACGGUAGGAUUGGACUUAUUGGACCUGAAACACACCAUUUUUGUACAUUUUUCCAAUGAAGUCAAGCCUAAUUCCAGUGCCGGUCAUUGGGUCAAGUAGGAAACAAAUAAGACUAGUACAACAUCCCUAAAUACGACAUGACGAAUUCACAUAUGGAUCUACAAGGGUUCACAUGUGGAUCUUUGAAGCCAAAUUACAUUAUGACAGAUGCCGAAUCAGCUUUUGCAUAAACAUAAAAUGGUAACCCUUUGAAUUAACUUUCUAAAGCCAUAAGAAUCAUGUCAUUUGGAGUUCUGAAUGCUGAGAUGCACCCAAAAUACUAAGAACUAGUUAGAAGAGCAUUGCAACGAAACUAUACUUCAGUACUUUGGACUUUUGGCUAUGAAAACGUGAGAACUAGACUUUGAUGUCUCAUAGAAAUUGUAAAACAUUCUCUUGACUUCAAAAUGAAUCAAUAAUCAUCUCAAUUCAAUUUUUGUAGCUCAAGUCAUCUUCAAAAUACUGGUAUAUGUCAUUCCUGCCAAUCCCUUUCCUCUUCAUUUCUUCUUCUUCUGUUGCUUAUUCGCGCCACGUUUUUUUGUCGAUUUUCUCUCCAAUUGAGCACUUCACUUAUUGGAACAAUAUAAGAACAAAAAAGUAGUUUUCAUUCAAAAUAAAGCUCAAAUAACAUAGUUAACUAGCAACUUAUUUAUAUAAACUGUAUUACAAAUUACACUCUAUCACAAGGCAUUACCAAUAGCAACAUACGAGAAAUUAGUGAAAAAAUUAGAAUGUAUAGGUUAAAAGAUCUCAAAUGAUGCUUGUAUGAAGGGGAGAAAUUAAUACACAAAGAAUAGUGUACUCUUUUUCCUUCACUAAGGUUUUUUUCCCAUUAAGUUUUUUAUUAGUAAAGUUUUAACGAAAUAUAUUCUUUGUGUAAUGGACAUUCAAGGAGAGUGUUAUGAAACAAUUAAAAUAUGGAUGUCCAUUUGUUUUCCCUAGAAGAUUGAUACAUAUAUUUUUCUACAAGAUUUAUUUGGUUCAUUUAUCACUUCAUGGAACAACUAAAUUUAUCAUCUUAUGAUUCUAAAUCCAUGUAUAAUCAUUGAUGCUAUUCAUGUACUGAGGUUUUUGUAUUGCCUAUAAAUAGAAGCGGCCUAACCUCUCUUGUAAUAAUAUUUGAACAUUUGAAUAAAUAAUAGAAUAAUCCUCUAUUAUCCCUACUUCUUGUUUCUAUUCUAUUAUCUCAAUCUCUACUUUUAGUAGUUAUUUCAUUAGUUUCACAACAGAGUUGAACCAUAUGUACAAUCACAUGCUUACUAGUCGAUCACUUUCUUCACCUUUUCUUGUUUGGUAAGAGGAGUGAAGUGGGCAUAUAGGCAGAGAAACUUGAGACCUCGCUACUCUUGCUUAUGACUCGUGAGAUUGGUUGUUAUAGAGGGGAAAAUAAUAAUAAUUCAUUCAAGUGAUGACACAUCAAUUGGGAGUAGAUUAAAUGGUGAAAAUGCUGGAAAACAAAGUUGUAGAGAGACCAAAAUAGCUUCUAGUGAAACCAUUUCUUAACACAAUCAGAAUUCCACUUAUGCCUAUCUCUAGCAAUUGUCAAAUUCUAAAAAUGUCCACCUACUCCAGGUGCUAAAAAAAGGGCCAAUAGGACUAUUCACAACCUCAACUCCUACUUUUUAUAUGACAACUAGAGGUACCUUGGCUCUGCAAGGCACAGCCUGCGCCCCCUAGAAUAUUAGUUGAAUGCAUAAUAACAAAUGUUUUUGGUACAUAAUGAAUAGAUAUAUAGGAGAAGAUUUGAGUUAAAAACAAUUAAAUUUUGUUGUGAAAAGAAAUUUCAUCUAGGAAGUUAGCCCCAAUUUAUUGUGAUUUGGAUAAAGAUUUUUUAACCAAAUUAUGUGUACGUAAUGAUACCAAAAAAGAAAAGAAAAAAAUCCAUUAUGAGUGCAUUAUCGAUUGAAUAGCAUCACAGUUUUAGUUGUAACUAAACAAAAAGUAGUCAGAAUGUUUCUAAUAGUUUAAUAAUUAGAAAAAGUUUAGAAAGCCACCAAAACCUGUCACAAUCUUCAACAUCAAUAAAAACAUACAAACGUGCAUAUUUUUCUUUAUUUUUUGAGAGCAAGAGCAAAUUAAUCCAUCCAUUUAAAUAAUGCCCAAUAGCAUUAUAAACAAAUGAGAACAUUAUCUCACUAAAUAGUUCUAGAAUACAAAUAGCAAAUUAAAAUAAAAACAUGAAUUGACAUGUUUCUAGAUCUACAUAUGCAAUUUCGAAUCCAAUAAUUUGUUUGAUUGCAAAAAUAUCUUUUUAAUCAAAAUAGAAUUUUCUAAUAAUAUUUUGUCGAGUGACACUCUAAGCUAAAAGCCUCAAUGCUAACUUCCACAACCAAAUGCAUUCCUUUGACAACUGCAAUCAUUUUAACUAGUCAAAUUGACAAAAUAUUACCAACUCCUUCCGCCAAAUAGUAAUGAUAUGUCCAAUUCCACGCCUAACAAUCACCUGAAACUCUAAUUACAUUAUCUAUUAUUAUGGACAAUAAAAAAGAUAAGAGUACAAAGUCAUGUAGAACCAAUUUAAGUAAAAUAUUUUGAAAUCUAAUUUACACUUUUAUUCUCAGGCUAUCAUUUGCUAAAAUAAAAACCAUGAAAAUAAACUACUUGUCAUGGAUACAAGCUUGUAAUUCAAAAUGUUGAAUGAAGAGAUACAAAAUAUUAUCUUCACAUUCUAAAUUGUUGUCCCAUUAAUUAUUUUACACAUCAUCCACCUUAUCCAAUAAAUAAGCACUUUUCACCAUUAAUAAACUUUAUAUAAAUCAAAAUAUCAAAAUAUAAUUACCUAUCCACAAAUUAAGAGACUCUGAUUAAUUUUUAAUUCAACAGGCCUCAUUAUUUUCUUCUUGAUCAUCGUUUACCUUGGACUUUUAUUUGUCAGGUUCUUUCUCCUCUACUCUAGCAUUAUCACCCUAUUAUCAAAUAACAAUUUUAAUAAGUAAAAAAAUUAAAAUUAGAAUGAAUAUGUAUAAUGGUGUUAUUUAUUUUAUGGUGGGAAAGUAGUUACAAUUCUUUCAUUGUUAGCCUAAAAAUUUUUCAUGUAAUGACCACUCGUCUUCUUGUCAGCCUUAGGGAAUUUUUUUGCAUAAAUAAAAAAGGGCAAAAAGUAGUUUCAGAAUAACUAAAAUUUCAAAAACUGAAAAAAGGUUUCUUUAGAUUUGGGGAAAAAAUAUUCACAACAUCACAUACCUCUUUAAAGACCGAAAAAAAGUCAAAUGAAGAAGGAAGCGAUGAGAAAAGCAACAAGUAAAGGUUUAUGAAAAAACGUAAAAAAUGACAAAAAAAAAUUUAAAAUAGUACAUACCAAAGAAAGACAGUAAAGUAGAAGAUCAUGAAUCAUCAUUAUUCGACUAUAGAAGAAAGGAAAUAUCAAACCCAUUCUUGAUCCACGAUAAUGAAACCAUUCGUUUAGUUAAUUAUAUAUGGACAAAAAUGAAAGCAAAUGCAUCAACUAAUUCAAUAGAGAAAAAAAACAAAAUAAAUGAUUAGGAUGAGGGAAAAAAGGAAAAGGUGUACAGAGUGGAAACUAAAUAAGAAACCUACAGUGUGUAUGAGGAUUUGUUUAAUUGUUUUUAGCCAAAAAGGAGAAAGGAAAUAAGGUGAACAAAAGAAAAAAAAAGCAAAAUGAAAAAAAGAAAAGGAAUGCGCCACAAGUCAAAAUGAGGGAGAUCUACUUGACAAUUAUUGGGGUUGCUAUAGUAACUCCACUUUCUUCUUAUAUAAUAGGUAGAGAUACUUUGUAUGCAUGUGCACAUGUACACGCAUAUUAUGUCAAGUGCAAAAUAAGAGAUAAAAUAAAUUCCAUGUAAAUUAUUAAUUCCGAUCUUCCAAUUUUAAAAAAUGUUUAUUUUGUAUGACACUUAAAUGGAUGAAAAAUCAUCCCUUACAUUUAAAAGAACUUAUCAAUUUUGUCUCCAAACUUAAUUCAAAUCCACUUUUUGGUUGAGAAUGACACACCCCAGCCACAUGCAUAUUAUAUCCCAAGCCAGUACUCAACCAAAUCAUAAAAGCAAUAGUGAAUGACAAACUAAAUCUCAUUGGUUCACUAAUAAAUACAUGUUUAAUUUUUAGAACAAAAUUGUAAUGCAUCUCCAAUAAAAUUCAAAAGUUCAGUUGUGAAUCUGUUGAUGAGGUAAAAGAUAAAACCUUGAUAAAAUAGGACAAAAAAAUCAAAGAUUUUGAAUAUAGUUCAAUCCUUGUUGUUGAUGGUUUAAUUGUUGUUAUUUUUUUUGUUUUAUUAACUAUUAUUUCAAUAGGUUCAUAGAUGAAGAUGUUCUUGUUGUAGGAGAUGCAUUAGUAUAUUUCCUUCAAAUAAUCCUUUUUUCAUAAGUUGCUUUAAAUAAGCAAAUAUGUCUUAGUUAGUAAGCCAAUGAGUUUUAUCUUCCUGCCUGCUUUGAUUUUCAUCAUUUGAUUGCUUAAUAGCCCUUUAAAUACCAUGCACCUAGCUAAGGCAUGCUCAGCUUGAAACUUGAUUGGAAUUUUGUUAUGGGAUGAAACUGGCACACUUUGAUGUUGCAUCAAUUUUAUGUAGGGAUCAAAAAUAUUAUUUGAAAUGUGAAAGACGAAAUUGGUCAUUUGUCCUCUUAAUUUUGGAGGGAAAGAUAUUUUAUCUUCUUAUGUAGCCCAUGAAAUAAUAUGUAUGUAGUUGAGGCAUGCAACUCUCAAUUUGAAAAAUGAUCAGAAUUAGAUUUUAAGAUGAAAUUGGAAAGUUCUUGAAGUUUCGGCCCAAAAAGGUCCAUUGAGCCUAAACUUUAAUUAGGUUGGGUGGAGUUUGGAGUUAAAUAUUAUGUCCGAACUAAAUGCGAAUUGGGCUUAGGACAUGCUAGGCAUAGGCCUAAUUAAAGCCCAACCCAUACAUAAGUAUAAUUAUAUAUAUAUGUAUAUAUAAAAUAUAGAAUUAUAUAAUAUAUAUUUUAUAAUUAUGAAUUACUAUAAAUUUAUAUAUAAUUAAUAAUUAUAACCAAAUAUUUAUAAUUAUAAAUUAUAUAUAAAUUUAUUUAUAAUUAUAAAUUAUAUAUAAAUUUAUAGUAAUUCAUAAUUAUAAAAUAUAUAUUAUAUAUAAUUUGGUGUAUAUAUAGUUGGGUGGUUCUUGGGAGAGAGGAUGUAAGUGAGAGACCUUGUGUUCGACUUCGAUUCCUUCUACUUACAUUGUAAGAAAAUGUAUUUAGUUAUGAGUUUGGGUCAAACCCGAUUUGAGUACGAAACUCAUAUAAUAGUGUAAAAUUGAAGUUUGAAUCUUUUAAUUUAAGGCCAAAACCCAAGAAUCAAUAUAAUUUGUGAGUUGAGUCUGGCUUGCCAAAACCCAACUCAAAAAACUCAAUUGACAUCCCAAAGUUUUGAAAAUGGUUUUUAUAAUUCUAAAUGCGAGGAAUUGUUUUUUUAAGAUGGAUGACGAAAUUGAUCAUUUUCUCCAAAGUUUCAAAAUUUCAAUAAAAUUUGUAUUUUGUUGUAAUUACCAGAUAAUUACUUUCUAGCUAUUGUAUAUGCCUGAAUUAUCCAGUAGAAUGCAAGUUAUAUAAGUCACCUAUAAAUCAUAUAAGUAAUCUUUUACUGAUUGUUGAAAGCUUCAAUUGAAAAUGAAAAAACAAAGGAGAAGUGAAAAAGAAUAACCUCUCCAUUUUACCCUUCUUUCAAUUUUUAAAAAGUGCAUUAAAGUCAUGUCUUAAAAUUAAUUGCUCUAACUAUCCAUUGUAUAAUUCAAAAAUUUAAAAACAAUAACAAAAUUUGAAUUUAAAUGAAGGGUAUUUAUGGAAAGAGAUAUCACUGAUUGGUCAAACAACAAAAGGCUUAAAUUGUGUGCAAAGUUGACCAUGAAAAGUAAAUUGAAUUUAAAUGAACAGGUAGUCAUGGAAAGAGUUAUCACUGAUUGGUCAAACAAUAGAAGUUUUAAAGUAUGUGCAAAGUUGAUCAUGACAAGUAAAUUCUGAACGAGGAAGUAUCAAAGACAACGCAGCAGUCGCAUAUGUUAACCAGAUCAUUUGCCAGCUCAAAUAGCAAACCUUUUCUGUUCAAAUAUUAUAAUAUUACAUACUUUAACACUAAAUUUCCUGCAAUCACAAGAUAUCAUUUCCGAUUUUAUAGCCAUCAAUCGAAUGGAACAUGGAUUUUUGUCAGCAGGCGCAACUCUUUUUUCCUUAUUGCUGAAGCACCAAACUUCUCAGUCAUGUAAUCCCUCCAGGCAGUUUCCCGUCAAAGUGGUAGAGAAAAUGGGCAAGCAGAAGCUCUAUAUUGGCUACACCAAAGUUUAUUCCUAGAAACGUCCUUUUUCCAGCACCAAAUGGUAUGAGCUUGAAACUGUUUCCAGUAAAAUCAAUUAGUGUUGAAUCUCUCCGGCUCAAACUUCUUUGGCUCUUUCUAGUACUCGGGAUCUGUUUCAAUUGUCCACGCAUUUACCAGAGUUACUGUAUUAACUGGUAUAGUAUAACCAGCAAUUUGACAUUGUUCUCUACUUUCUCUUGGGGCCAACAGAGGUCCUGGAGGGUGCAACCUGAGAGUUCCUUUUAUUACCAUUUUAGAUACUCCUAGAGUUCGUUUUCUCUGAUUCUCUUCUUUCCCUUGACAACUUGUCUAACUUCAUCUUGAGACUUGGCCAUAAGUUUUGGAUACUUCAUCAUUUCAGAUAUUGCCCAUUCUAGCAUGACUGACAAGGUUACAGUCCCACCCACGGACAAUUCCUGUUCAGUAAAACAAUUCACUAGACCACAUGUUAUAUACUUGUAACCAUGGUUCAAAGUCGUGGUCGCGGUCACGGUCGCGGCCCGGAAUGUUCCACAUCGGUCUCGACAUAUCGGUCGCGGUUUCGGUGAGACGCAAAUUUUAAAGUAUUUAAUAUUCUAAAAAUUGUUAAUAAUAUAAAAAAGUAUGCUAAACAAAAAUAAUAAAAAAUAGCAAAAGAAAUGGCCGAGUCAAUCCGUCACGGUGUAACUCGGCUAAUUUCUCGUCUUGACUCGGGAUAACUCGGUGUGACUCGGUGUGACUCGGCCGAGUCAAUCCGUCGCGGUGACGUCUCGGCCGAUUUCUCGGCGAGUCAAGUAUCUCGCUAUCAUUUCGUCACGGUAUCGUAUCGGUAGGGGCCGAGACGGUGACGACUCGGCCGAGUCGUCUCGGUCUCGGCCGAGACUUCGAACCAUGCUUGUAACACAAGUAUACUAUAGAAAAGGAAAAUGAACAAAAAAAAAAAUUCUGAAAUGGAAAUUUGAAUGUGAAUAAUUAAACAAGUAUAGAGAAGACUAAGAGAUGAUGUAUGGUUCCAGCAUUCUUACAAAAAUGAUGGCUUUGAUAUUUUUUAUUGUGAUAGGGAACUGAAAGGCAUUACUCUGCUUAAGCCUUAACAGAACAUCAAGAAUAUCUUCCUCUGCGAUGUUUUCGUUGUCAGCUUGGCUAUAAGCUUGUUCAUUUCAUGGUUACUGAUGUAUCCUCCAGGAUAUCGUCAAGUGUUAUACACAGUUUUUCCAGUUUCGGCUUUACUCCACUGAGAAGUCAAAAAAUCCUCCAGCAAGUGAUGCAGCUUCUUUGGCUGUCAUUAUCAGCUCCUCUUUGUCUUGGCAAGUUCUCCCAACUGUAGCUCUGCUUAUAGUGGCAUUCAAGUACUGUAAGACCAAUUCGCCAAGAAUAAUUGGCUUCCCUGAAAGGGACUCAAUUGAACUGGGCAAACUGGAGACAUUUCGUCCUGCAUAAUGCUGAAAAGUGAAUGAACACUUUUGGUGUUUAGGAGUUCCAUUAUGUACAUACGGUGCAUCUGUUUCCAAUAUUCCCCGUACGGUGAAUGGUAACUCCAUAUCCUUGUAGGAUAGGUGCUUAACAAUUAAUUACACUUUAUGACUCUUUCCAUUGAGGACGGAGUUAGUAUGGACCAAUCUCUCUUCUGAGAGCUUUCUCUCUCUAACCUGAGAGCGUUCUCUCCUGUGAGUGGGAGAUUGGAAUUUCAAAGUAAAAAGCCCGCCGAAUUUGCAUCCGCAUUUUUCUCAAACUAAGAAAAUUGCUGAAUACUACACAACACCAGUUCUGAAUUCUGAAUCAAACACCAGAUCUAUAGCAACAUAUCCUUAGUAGAAAUAGGAUAGUUGGGAGGUCUUGAAGGAGCAAAGGUAUAGUAAAGGGGAGACAUUUAUGAACACUCAAAGCAAGGUCUAGAGACCAGAAGGCAGGUUUAGCCGGUUUGCUGGACUACAAAAGCAGCAUUUACUCAUAAACCCACAGCAGGCGUAGGUGAGAGGUCUAUAUGGCCAAGUUUUCACUGCCGUUAUCUGCUCUUUUAAGUCUUUUAUUUUUCUGCAUCUGCAUCUGCAUAAUUAGGUGGUUUUCUUUCUGUUUUUGCCUACCUGGUUGUGCACUUACCUAGUGAAGAUUGUAGUCGGUUUUUCUCUUCCUACUGCUUUAGUCAGGCUCUAGCAUUUGCUUCUUUAAAUAAAUAGAGGUAUCCUACUAAGAUCUACUGGGCACCAUGGCUGAUGAACUGGAGGAAGUUUUAAAGAAGUUUGCUUUAUCUAAUCUAGAGCAGAAUGGAGCAUGGUUGGACAUGGAUGAUAUAAAUCCGGGGAUAACUGAGUGUGAAAAUAGCAUCAUUGGGAAGAUUAGAGGAGAAAAAGUUGCAAAUUUCACAGGAGUCAAGAACUUCGUGACUGCAGCGUGGGGUUACCCAAAAAAUCUGGAAGUAGCGGAGCUAGGUCCUAACUUAUUUCAAUUCUUCAUUCCAGAAGAGGAUAACAGACUGAGGAUACUAAACGGUGGACCUUGGUUGAUAGACAGUCAGAUUCUAGUGCUGAAUAGAUGGCAGGCUGGAAUUGAGGAAAAUACUGAGGCAUUUAGAUUUGGCACUCUCUGGGUACAAGUAUGGAAUUUGCCAAUCCACUGGAUCUCGAAAGAGGCUGGGAAAAAGAUAGGGAAAGUUUUAAAGAGGUAAAGGAAGUUCUAAUUUCCCACACAGGAGGGAAGGAAGGGAAGCACUUAAAGAUGCUAGUGUGGGCUGACAUGACCCAGCCUCUACUACGUGGAACAGCAGUCAAGAUGAAUGGGGUACUAAAAUGGAUUAACUUCAGGUAUGAAAGAGUACCUGAUUUCUGCUACAAGUGCAGAAUUAUUGGUCACAGUGAGAAGAAAUGUAAGAAUGAAGUGAACAUUAAGAAGGGGCAACAGGAGAACCAAUAUGGUCCCUGGCUACGUGCACAUAAUGGGAGAGGAUCACCACAAAAGGAGAGUAAUCCCAGUUCAUAUAAUCCGGAUAGGCAGGUUUGGGGUUUCAAAAUGGGGAGUGGAUUAAGAGGAGCAAUGGUAAGAAAGAAGAACAGGGGACCAAGCCUACCAGAACUGAGAGUGCUAAAAGCAUGGCUUUGGUCCAGAAUGCCUUCACAGUAGAGGAUCAUAAUGAUAGGCAGGUAAGCAGGGCUCAGGAACCAGAUGAGGGAGAUGAGGAGCUCCUAGAUGCUCAGGUGACAGAUAUGCACAAAAAAGAAACCGAAAGGAUAAACAAUGUAAGUAAUCUGGAAUCUGGCUCAAUAGAGUGUGAGUUGGGGAGUAUGGUCCAAGCAGUAGGGUCUCUGGUAACAUUAGGAGAACCUUGUAUUAGGAAUCUGGAGAGGAGCAUGGAGGAAAAGGAAGAUAAAACUAUGGAUAUGCUGGUGGAUGAGGAAGAACAAUGUCAGAAUAUAGAAAAUGGAGUAAGCAGGGUGAGGAAAGUAAGAAUUAGGAACAAAAUGAGUGACAGAGAGAGGCAACCUCUAUGUGAUAUUCAGAACAUGGAAUCCAAAAAAGGAGGUAAUGCUAAAAGGAAGCUGCAGAUAAUUGAUGAGGAAAUGCUGGAUAUGGAGCAUAACGAGCAGGCUAGAAAACGAUACAAAGGCUCAGAUGAGAUGGAACAUUCUGAUCAGACACUGAGGGGGGAAGAGACCAGCCCAUCUUGGUCUCUCAACCUCCAAUGAGAGCUCUGGUGUGGAACUGUCAAGGUGCAGGGAGCCCCUUGACAGUUCCCCAUCUGAAGGAGGAAAAUAGACUCCUCUCCCCUACUAUCAUCUUUCUUUGUGAAACAAAAAACAGAAAGAGGUAUAUGGAAAAAGUAAAAAAAAUUUUGAACUUUGACAAUAGUUUUGUAAUAGAGGCUAUGAAUAGGAGUGGUGGGAUGGCUCUCCUGUGGAAGAAUGAAGUCAAAGUUUUGGAAAUACAAGGUACGGCCUUUACAAUUGAGGUGAAAGUGGAGGAUGAAGAGAAAAAAGAAUGUUGGUGGUUGAUUGGAAUCUAUGCAAGCUGUGAUAAUCAAGUGAGACGAGGUCAGUGGGAAGUGCUGAAUAGAAGGAAAGUUGGCUGGGGGGAUAAGUGGAUUAUAAUAGGUGACUUCAAUGAUAUCACAUCAAAUGAGGAAAAAUGGGGUGGAAGGAGGAGGGACAAUAGAAGUUUUCAGGACUUCCGGAAGUUCAUAAAUGAGAACCAGUUGCUGGAUGUUGGGUAUCAAGGAAAGCCAUGGACUUGGAGCAACAAUUGGUAUGAGAAUGGAGAAAUCAAAGAGCGACUGGAUAGAGGCCUAUGUACCAUGAAAUGGUCUCAAUGCUAUGAGGAUGCAAAGUGUAUACACAUUGAUUCGAUUGCUUCAGACCAUAGCAUGUUGUUGCUUGAAACCGAGAAGGAAAGAAAGAGAUGGAAAAAAAGAUUCCAGUUUGACAAAAGAUGGUUACAGCAUGAGGAUAUUGUGGAGGUGGUAAAAAAGGCUUGGGGUAUCCAGUGCGAGGGAACAAAAUGGUUCAAGGUGAAGGAGAAAAUCAAGAGCUGUAGGAUUGAGCUACUUAAAUGGAGCAACAAUAAGAAAGGGAACUCUGUUGAAAGAAUCAAUUGGUGUAAAGACCAGAUUGAGGCAAUUAAGGCAUCAGAGACUGAAAACAAAAGGCCAAGGAUUCAGGAAAUGAAAGAACAAUUGAAAGUGCCUUAUGAUAAUGAAGAGGCCUAUUGGAAUCAGAAAUCCAGAUUGAGAUGGCUAAAAGAGGGGGAUAAAAACACCCAAUAUUUUCAUGCAACAGUUAAAGGAAGGAGGAGAAGGAACAGAAUCCAGAAGCUGAAGAAAUCUUGUGGGGAGUGGACUACUACUGAUGAAGAACUGGGAAAGGAAAUUGCUGAAUAUUAUGGAGAGCUGUUUAAGAGUUCAGGGGCGGAGGUGCCUGAUGAUAUCUUAGUGGGGAUCCCUGUAUCUAUAACUGAGCAAAUGAAUAGAGAUUUGACCAAAGAAGUUGAGGAAGAGGAAAUCAAGACUGCCUUCUUCUCUAUGGAACCUAACAAGGCUCCUGGAAGUGAUGGCAUGUCUCCGCUUUUCUUUCAAAAAUUCUGGAGCAUAAUUAAGCAGGACUUGGUAAGUGCAAUUCAAGGAUUCUUUCAUAAUAAUGCUAUUCUUAAAGCCAUUAACCACACAAUCAUAUCCUUGAUUCCAAAAGUAGACUGCCCUACAGAGAUCAAACAAUUCAGACCUAUCAGCUUAUGCCAAGUAGUCUACAAAGCUCUUGCAAAAAUUCUGGUCAAUAGACUAAAACCUUUCCUUUCUAAAUGCAUUAGCAAAAAUCAAUCUGCAUUCGUUCCAGGUAGGCAAAUCAUAGAUAAUGUCAUCCUUUCCCAUGAAUUGCUGCAUUUUUUGAAAAACAAAAGACAAGGGAGAGAUGGGAUGAUGGCAGUGAAACUAGACAUGUCAAAGGCCUACGAUAGGGUGGAGUGGGAUUUCUUGAUAGUGAUAAUGGAAAGAAUGGGAUUCUGCUCCAAGUGGAUAAGAUGGAUUAUAGCCUGUAUUAGCUCAGUCACCUACUCUUUCAACAUAAAUGGAGAUCAGAAGGAGUUCAUAACCCCAACCAGAGGAAUAAGGCAAGGUGACCCUCUCUCUCCAUAUCUGUUUCUAUUGUGCUCAGAAGGGUUGUCUAAUCUGCUACAGAAAGCUAAGUUGGGGAAGCAGUUAACAGGUAUAAGAAUCAGUAGAGGGGCACCAGCAAUAACUCAUUUGUUUUUUGCUGAUGACUCUCUAGUUUUCUGCAGAGCUAAUGGACAGGAAGCUGGGAAGUUAAUGGCCACUCUUAAGGUGUAUGAAAAGGCAACGGGGCAGCUUAUCAACAUGGAUAAAUCUUCAGUAUUCUUCAGUAAAAACACAACCCAAGCUGCAAGAGAGGAAGUCUGCCAAUCUAUGGGAUCCAUUCAGCAGGUAGAACAGGGUCAAUACCUAGGCCUCCCCAUGAUUAUAACAAGAUCCAAAGGGCAGGUAUUUGGGUACAUACGGAAUGCCAUUGAUAAGAAGCUGCAGAGCUGGAAAAACAAGUUGCUAAGCCAGGCAGGGAAAGAAGUCAUGCUUGAAGCAGUAGCUAUGGCUAUGCCAACCUACACCAUGUCAUGCUUCAGACCGAGCUCUAAGAUGUGCAGAGACAUUAGUGCAAAAAUGGCAGACUAUUGGUGGGGGGAGACAGAAGGAAAGAAAAGGAUGCAUUGGAUUGGCUGGAGAAAGAUGACAGAAUCUAGAAGUAAGGGCGGCAUGGGAUUCAAAAACUUGCAAGGAUUCAAUAGGGCUUUACUGGGCAAGCAAGUUUGGAAGUUGUUAACACAACCAAACUUGCUAGUCAGUAGAGUCCUUAAGGAAAAAUACUACCCCAGGCAAUCCUUAUUCACCAGCAAAGUCCCUCAAAAUACCUCCUGGAUUUGGCAGAGCUUAGCUGAUGUGCGAAGAGAAAUACAGAAUGGUGUCAUGAGGAAGAUAGGAAAUGGCAAGGCAACAAGAAUCUGGGAAGACUGUUGGAUUCCAGACAGCAAAAGUGGGAAGCCAACAACACCAAAGCCACUGGGGUGUCAAUUACAGCAUGUGUCAAAUCUUAUUGUCAACAACAGAUGGAAUGCUGUUUUGAUAUUCAGAAUCUUCAGCCAACAAGAUGCUGAAAAAAUAUUGAGGAUACCUAUAAGCUUCACAGGGAAGGAAGAUGGUCACUAUUGGAUACACUCCCAAAAUGGUCAAUAUACUACUCAAUCUGGAUAUAAGAAAUGGAUGAAGGAAAAGGAACUAGAGAGUAUAAGAAGGAGGGAUGAUGCAGGGACAAGCUAUGAAGGAUCUAUCACGAGAGCUUGGAAAUCUCUAUGGAAGCAGAAAGUGUGCCAAAAAAUGAAAGUAUUUAUAUGGAAAUGUCUGCAUGGAGGUCUCCCAGUAAGAGGUGAAAUUCACAGACGAACAAGGCAAGGAGAUCCUAAAUGUGCAGCGUGUGGAGAAGAGGAAGAAACAAUAGAACACCUGCUGCUCCAAUGCAACAAAGUAAAGGAAGUAUGGAAGCUAUCGCCUGUACAAUGGGAUGGAAUACAUCAUACAUCAAACUGCUUCAUCAAAUGGUGGUCUGCAAUCAUGGAAGCUCAAGAAGAGAGAGGAGGGGAGGACCAAGUGAACCUUACUAUAAUAUAUUCUCUGGCAGAUUUGGAAGGCCAGAAACGAGAGGGAGUUUGAAAACAAGGAAAAGAACCCAUAAGGUAAUACAAAAGGCGGUGAAGGAUGGAUGGAAUUUGAUGAGGCCAACAGAGGGAAGGAGACGAGGAAGAACAACCAGGGAACAGAAAUACUGGAACGUGAUGUGCAAGACCAAAGCCAGAUAGAGAACCAAGCCAGGCUGAUAAUCAAGGUCCACGCUCACCAGGACAGAAGGCAACAAAUGGUGGGGAUUGGAAUCACUGCUACUGACUCGGCAGGUAGUCUACAAGCAAUCUGGGCAUUAAGGGAAAGAAUGACUCGAGACACAAAGCAAGACCAAGCUGGUGCGGUGAGGUUGGCACUACUGAAUGCAAUCAAUCAAGGCUGGACGAGUAUAAAAGUGGAGCUGGAAGAUAGGGAGCUGGUUGAGUGCAUAACACAAACAAGAACUAGCAACCAACAGAUGGCUACUCUGGUAGAGGAUAUACAGCACAUAAGUAAUCUGUUCCAAAAGUGUUCUUUCUCUUUUGUUGAAUCUGGAUUUGUAGGAAGUGUCAAGUUGAGCAUGCAUGCUCUAAACAUCCUUGUAGAUGAGGAAUGGGUGAAUCCCAACUUAAGGUGCUAGGCACUAAUGUUUUGAUAGGACUAUUGUCCUGAUGAUUGGACCUUUGUCCAAAUAUUGUAAACUCUUUAAUACUUCUAUAAAGCUAACGUUUCGACAAAAAAAAAAAAAAGCACGGAGUUAGUAUGGAAAGGAACUUAAGAUAAUUGAGAAGAUGACAGAUGUAUGAGAUCCUGUUUGUACUAUCUGGAAACUAUUUUGCGACAAAAAGUAUGCUAACGGUUGAGACAUUGUAGAUGUGCUGUUGAUGAGUCAUAUUUGUCACACUCCGAUUAGUGUUUGAAAAUUGUGGCUAAUUCUUGUCACGGAUAUCAGUUCAUACUUUUCUUCAGUUGAUCGAUCAUGUUUUAUGAGUAGAGGUGUUAAAAUAGGUGUUUUGGGAGUCAUAAUUUGCUAAUAGGUAUAGUUGAGUAAAUCCAUAUUCUCAUUUAAUAAAUGAGUCACAAUGGACAAUUUAUAAAUGAGUACGAGUAUAUCCAUUUAUCCAUUUAUGCCCUGCUAAAAAUUCUAUUUAUUUUGCUUACUUGGUGGGAGGGUUAAAAUUUCUUUUUUAGAAUGCUAUUUGACAAGGACAUUUUAUUUUGAUAAAAAACUUAAAGACAUUUCAAGCUAGUAAAUAAAUUUUUUUACCCAAAAAAAACAAUGAAAAAUCAAUACAUAUUGUGCAUAACACAAAAUAGUGAUCAUGAUAGAUUUUACAUAGCAUCAUAUUACAAGUGCUGAAAAUGUUGUAGGCAUUAAUACAGAAAAUUAAUUAACACAAUCAUUGAAGAGUCUACUUGAAUUUUGGAAUGAGGAAAAAAUGAAGAAAAAAUAGAAAAUAAACUAAAACAGAAAAUAACAUAAAGUAUAUUUGACAAACUUGAAGGAAUUAUCACUGAAUUGUUUAGAAAUUCAAAUUCAUCCACUUAACACUUAAUAUAUACUGGAAGGCCCCAAAUCCAUGGUAAAUACGCAUCGUAUAUUUGAUCAUUUACAUCAUUCAACCAAGUGUAGAUGAAGAUUCUUAACCCACAAUUACUUGUCAAACCUACGCAUCAAUGCAAGAUUACAUUGCAUGAUUUUUCUUUUUUACUUGGCAAGGCCUUAGUUGAAGAACGUGCCAUCUAUUAUCCAAUUUCAUACAAAAUUUUUGCAACAAACUAAGACAAAAAGGAACAUGCCUUUUGUAUCCACUCGUAAUUACAACAAAUGAAGACAAAGAAAAUUCUAAUAUCCAUGAAUAUUCUGGAAAACCCAAGGACAUGCCUGAUACUUUAAUGAUAUGAGAAAUUUAAAAAAGAAAAAAAUCCAUCAACACAUAAGCAUGGCCUCAAUAAAUCUCAAACUUGUAGAACCACAAAAUUUCACUUUCUAAGAGGUUGAAGAAGUUGAGAGACCUUAUUUCUCCUAUUAGAUUUCAUUUGAAAUUUCUUAACUUUGAGCUGUAGAAUGGGUAUGAUACUGAUGAUCUCCUUUUCCUUUAUUCGCUAAUUUUUUUCCCCACUCUACAAAGGGCAAUGAGUUCUCCAAACCUGCUCUUCUUAUUAGUCCGCAAUUUCCAUUUUUCUUUCUCCAAAACAAAACGAUACCGUAUUGUUGACCCCACCAAAAGCAUGGUCGUGGCUCAAUCUUGAAUCUCCCAUUGCCACAAUUUAAUCUUGACCAUGAAAUUGCCCAAAAUGGAAAGUGCCUCAAAUUGUGAGGCCCCGAUUCCUGAUUCUGGCCAUUUGGAAAGCCAAACACCAUUAGAAAGAAUUUCUUGCAAACACACAUCCAGCAAAGGGAGCAUACACAACCAGAUAAUGGACAAGUUUCCCCCAACUCCAUUGCUUUCCUCCUGUUCCUAGCCUUUGCUCUAACUUUAGUCCAAAAAUGGUUGAGAUCCAGAGGAUUGACAUCAAUCAAGAUGUUGCCACCAGGGCCGUGGAAGCUACCUUACAUUGGAAACAUCCAUCAUUUGUUAUGCUUCCUACCUUAUUAUGCACUCAGAAAUUUAGCUUAGAAACAUGGAGCUCUAAUGCACCUUCAACUAGAUGAAACUUCUGCGUUUGUUGUCUCAUCACCUCGUUUAGCAAAGAGAUUUUAAAACUCAUGAUCUUGCCUUUGUGAAUAGGCUAGAGUUGCUAGUGGGCAAAAUCCUAUCUUUUGACAGUUCAGAUAUUGUAUUCUCUAUGUAUGAGAAUGUUGGAGACAGAUGCGAUGGAAAUGCACCUCGAAACUCCUUGGUGCCAGAAGUGUUUAAUGAAUUGACUCUAUUUGUAUGGAUAUGAGGCUUUACAUCUGAUUGCUCCCAUUCAGUCUCUAGCUCCUGAUAGAAAACCAAUAAAUUUAACAAUAGAAAUUUCCACGGUAUAUAGAGCAGCAUUUGGUGAAGUAUGUUGUGAUGACCAAAAUAAAUUUAUAUAGCUUAUGAAAGAAGCGGUUCUCCUAACAGGUGGCUUUAAUAUUUCAAAUCUGUUUCCACCGCGAAAGAUUCUUCAUCGACUUAGUCCUUUGAAGCAUAAAUUAUUGAAGAUGCAGUGUAAGUUUGAUAUAAUUUUGGACAACCUGAUUAAUCAACAUAUUGAGAUUCAAAGUUGCCAUUGUAGCUGUCAUUGUUCCAUACCAGUCUUGAUAUAUUGGCCACAGUCUCGGUGAGAUACAUAUUUUGAAGCAUCUAAUAAUCUAAAAAUUGUGAAAAUGUGCUAAAAAUAAUUUUAAAAACUAUGCUAAACAAAAAUAACAAAAAAACUAGUGAAAGAAAAUGAUUUCCGAAGCUACAUUUAUAAGGCGAGAAGGUCAAAGUUUUAUCCUCAAGUACCCCCACACCUAGUGAAUCGGUUGCGAGAUUAACUUUAUUCUUCUAAUUUUAAGGCCAAAAAAUUAGUUGAUUUAAACUAAAUACAUAACAUACAUUUUAAAUAAUUAAAGUAGAAUAAAAAAACCUAAGCAUAGCAUGAUAAAUAAGAAAAUAAUAAAAACAAGAUGAUUAAUUGCAAAGCUUCAAUUGGAAAAGCCAUGAAAUAACACACUUACGGAUACAUUUGAUAACAAUCAAAAGUAAUUAAUAGAAAAAUAAAAAAAGGAAAAAUAAAAAUAAAAAUGCAAUAACUAAAUGCAUCUAUGCCCUAUAUGGGUUAUAUCACUUCUAUAAAAGAAAAUUAAAAUUCAUUAAACUAAUUAAAAUGACAAACUAAUUAAACUAGUAGCUUACUAGUUAACUGCUAAGGACCUAAUUUAAAACAUGAAGCAAAAGUUUUGGGGUCAAAUUAUAAAUUACAAAAAGGGGCAUAAAUUAAAAGUUGGAGAAACUAAGUGGACUAAUGCUGCAAUAUCUAAAACUGAGUCAUCUUCUCCACACGAAACAGCUUCAUGCUGCCACACAGGUUACUUCUUCAAUAACGAAGUUGCCAGAAGCUGAAAAUCGUUAACUCCAAUGUGAUGAAGUUAGCAAUUAGCGGUGCAAGGAGGAGAGAAGACGUGAAGGAAGGAUAAGAGAAGGCGUGGUAUUGGCAGAAUAAUAGUAAGGGGAGGUGUGGUUUGAUGAAGUCAGCAGUUAGCAGUGCAAGGAGGAGAGAAAGCGUGAAGAUAGGAAAAGGGAAGGCGUGGUGACAGUAAGAGAAGGCGUGGCCAAGAAACCACGUCUUUGCUGGGUUCAUGCUGUUCUUGCUGAAGAUAGGGACCAGACUAGCUAGAAGAUUCUUUCAUACACGUGUUAAUCACUCAUUCGCUAUUUGAAGAAGUUAGUUAGAGUAGCAGUCUAUAAAAUGAUAGGAUCAUGUAAUUGUUAGCAAGCUUUUUGUUAAGAUUUUACUAUUGUAAUCAGAGAGGGAAUAUCCUCUCUAUUUAUCUUCUUCUUCAAGUUUCCUACGUUCUAUUUCCUCUUCUCCUCUUUUCCUGUCAAAUCCUUUUCUAUAACCAUAACUAUGAAAUUCAUCAAUGAAAUGGAGAUGUUUGUUUGAAUUCAAUCAAAUUUGAGUGUUGUUAAAUCUUUGCUUAAGUUCAUUUUCCAUUCUUGCAACAUUCCUGGUUCUGUACCACAACAGUGGUAUCAGAGCUGGUCUUACGAGCCAUAGGGAUAACAAAAAAUCAGACGAAAUGCUGAGAAGAGAUGUGGUAGAGCUGGGUAGUGUGGUCAGAACCUUCACUAACAUGAACGAGGGAAUAGAACAGGCCAUUAGAAUAAUGGAGUUCAGGCAGGAUGCUACUGAGAAGCUGCUGAAGGGACUCUCUUGUUUUUUCGAAGACCUGGAGUUGUCAAAAGGGUUUUUAUUUUAUCAUAUUUUUAUCAAAAAUAUUUUUUGGGUGACUUGGUACAUCCAAAUUCAAUACCAAGUGGCGACUCCUCUUUUUCUUAAAAAACCCUUUUUUAGACUAAAUUUUUGGACCCAAAUUGUCGCAUUUUUUAAAGUCCCAUUCUAGGUCCUUUUUCACUUAUUUUUUAAAUAAAAUCACAUCUCUUAUAAACACCUUUUUCUUUAUUUUUUCCAUCGCGAAAAAUGGGGCGCGACAACCUUCUUCAAGCUUCAUUUCAGCCACCACUUUUGAACAUUCCAGCCAUGAGAGUGAGAGAGAAAAGAGGGAAGAAACCAUUCAAUUUCCAUCUUGAUUUUUAGCUUAAUUUGUGUGAAAAUUCAAAAAACAAAACCAAUUAAACUCUUCCUUUAGUACCUAAGAGGCUUUGUGUGGUGACACUUUGGGGGGAAAGGUUGUGGUUCUCUCUUGCUAGCAGCUUUGGUGAGUUAUUAUGGUUUCCUAUCCUUUUCUUGCAUUUAAUCUUGUUAAAGUUUAGUUAGAAACUCUUAAUCUUGCCUUAUGACGGUAAAUUUGUUAGCUUGGAAUGAUAUGUUGGAAUAUGGAGCUAGGGUUUAUAUUCUCAGCCUUGAUUAUGGUUAUCUACCUCUUAAUUGAUGUUAUUGAGUUAGUAAUUGGUGGGUUUGAUGAUAGAACACUUGUUGGAUAUGAAAUUCUAGAGGAAAAGUUCAAAUUCCAUAUUUGAGUUUUGUUACUGCCCUGUUCUGCCCGGUUCUGUUUGACCAUGAUGGAGGCCGAAUUAGGCUUAGCACAAAAUAUAAAAGUUGUAGAGAUGAUGUUUUAUAGCUGCUGCAAAAUUUCAGCCCAAUCAGAGCAGGGUAUCUUGUGAAAUGACAAAAUUGCCCCUGCUGCCCUGUUUCUGUCAAAAAUGAUAAUCAGCCUCUGUAAGUGGUUAGUUUGACCAGGAAUAUUACCGAAUUGGUUGUUAAUAUCUUUUUAAGAAUUAUAUCCUUGUAUCUUAGCUUUCAAAUGGCUUUGGAAUUACCUGAAUUGGAGUUGUGUGUGUUAAGAUAUGAGUGAAUGAAUCAAGACUGCUAGUUGAAUUUCACAGUGAGGUUCGAACUGGAAAAUCUGGAGUUGUUUUGGUAAAUUUGACCUAGUUAGGGUGAGAACUAGACUAAGUAGUUUUCAUCAAAAUUAUAGCUAUUUGUCUUAGUUUCGAAACGGUAUAAAUUGCACCUCAAUCCGAUAAGCGUAGCCUCGUUUGUGUCCGUUACGCAAAACAACGUCAAAUUUGUCUUUUGUUUCUUGACUCAAACUUCAUUUCCACACAUGUUCUUAGCUGGAUUUUGUACUUGUAUGACUUUGAGCCUAUUGAACGGCUAUUGAAAUGAGAUGAUUUUGUGUGUGACUUUGGAGCUGAUUGAGGAAAACAAUGAAGCCAUGAUGGCUGGAAAAGUAAGCAAAUUUAGGGGGAAUGCUGUCCAAUUUUCUAGGCCGUUUGGUUCCUUUAAGUUUGAGUUGCCUUUUGGUAGAAUUGAAGGGCUUUUGGGUUGUUUGAGCCCUAGGUCUUCAUGUUAUCUUUUCGUUCCCAAAAAAAUCAUGUUCUACACCCUUGCAUUAGCAAUUAUUUGGCGAGGCAUACGACUAGUAGUCAAGUCUCACUUGUGCAUUCUGUUUACUCGAUUUUGAAUGUGGAACCUUCAAUUGUUUUACUUUGGUUCUUUUAGGGUUUCUUGGCGAUUAAAGCCACUAUGGCGUGAAAACUUUUGAAAUAUCUGUACUUGAACCGGUGAGUGUACCACUCCCCUGAAUUAUUGCUAAACUGGUUAUCUGUACUUGCAAAUUGCUAUUUGAAUGUUUUCUUGACUGUUUAUUUUGUACGAGACGAGUGUGUAUUUUAUCACACUCGCUCUCUGGCCUGUGUGACUUGUUUCCUGUAUAUAUUUGAAUCUGUUCCCUGUGCCUGUUAUAACGUCGUUUGAAAGUGUAUCCAACGACCUUCCUGUUAAAUUUGAGCUCAACCUCAUGGGGAGUUGAUUGAAUUGAGCCAACAAGGGCUUGGUCGAGGAAAUUGACAAUCCAUGGGUGCCUGUUCCUGGGGAAUCUAUGGGUAUUGGAGACUCUGGAUUUCCGGUAUACUCGAGUAUUACCAUUCCUGUUCCUGUUUGGCGUUCGGAUUCGGUAAGGGGUAUGUUUGGUGAACGGAAUUUUGGCGUUAAAGUGGCAUUCUACUAGAUUGGUUCCUUUAUUUGAACGUUGACGGAGGGUCAACGAGACUGGAUCAAGUAUUGCAACGGGAAAUUUGGCUCCUAAGAGCCACCUGUAUCCUUUACAUUGUGGUGUUCCUUCAUUUCUCAUAUUUGAUGUGAAUAUGUGCCUUGAAAGUGAUUUCUCAUGAGUUCUACUAUUUCUACUGUUUAUACUUUUGGUACCUCAUUGAGUUUUUAACUCACCCCGUCCGGUUAUCCUUGUUUUCCUUACAGGGAACCAUCUUUUGGAACUUCAAUGUUUUGAAAAAUGAGUUGAGUUAGUUAGAAAUUCUUUUGUUCUUUUGGUAUAGCUCCUCGACAAUUUGAAAACCCUAAAUGUAUUUUAAUACAAUGUUUUCUUGUGAUUUGUAAACUUACUAAUAGGUAUAUUUUAAAGUAUUUUCUCAUGUUUAUGUGACAUAUGUAUUUAGGAAUGUACAUUUUCUCAUGUCAACCAAAGUUUACUUAUACUUGGUUGGAUGGUGAUGUGGCAGCGUCACUUCCAUUUCGUUUUAAUUUUUGUGGGAACGUAAUACCAAAGAAUUAUUGAAUUUUUUUUUAUUUGGCUCAAACGGGUUGUGAUUGUUAUCUCUUCGGAGUUCUUUUGAGUGGUUGGUAGAGUUUACGUUUGUUUCAGAUCCGCAGUCCCGGCGAGAGCGGAGCAGGCGGUCCGCCGACCCCUUUGGUUCGCCUUAGGGGGAGGUGAGGCCGUCACAAAAGACAUCAAUUAGGAAUUUAGGACCAAAAAAUAAAAAAUUCAAAAACUUCUAAAAAUUCAUGAAACUCUUUAAAUUUACGUAAAAGAAGUUUUUUUUUUUUAGCUUUAAAACACAUCAAAUAGUACAUGUAAAUUGUUUACACCUUAAGUACACUCAUGUGUAUAGUUGUUGCCCUAUAUUUGGUCCAUCGUCAUACUUUUUUGUCUUUGUUUUCAACCUUUUGUUGAUACAUUUGCAAUUGAGGGAGGGAUGAAUUGGGUGAUUCGUGAGAAAACGGGUGCAAAAUGAAAGAUUAUGAGUUCGAAUUCUCUCGUUUACGGUUAGAAAAAAUACACUUGCAAUUUUGCACUAAAAGAGUAAGAAAAGAAAAGGGAAUUUAGGAAUGAAAUUGUAUGAAUUUUUAAUGGAUAAUUUUUUUAUACAUUGUCAGUGUAUAAUUUUUUUUAAUACUAGUAGGUUUAGAUCAUAUCACAUAACAUGAAUCUACUUUUGAAAUUCAAAUUAUGCACAUGUAUUAUACAUCUAUAAUUGUUAGUGUAAAAAAAAAUACUACACUAUUAGUAUAUAAAAAGGCUAAUCAUUUUUUAAUUUAUAAUUUCAGAUGGAUUGUUACCCAAAAAUAAAAAAGUUAAACUUGGAGGGGCAUUUAUAAUUUCAGAUGGAUUGUUACAAAAAAAAAAAAAAAAAAAGUUAAAAGGGGAGGGCCUUAGCGAGAUUCUUCAAAGUUCAGGGGUGCUAAUAUAGUGUCAGAAACCUCUGGAAUUUUUCCUCAUGUAGGAACUAAGAUGGAUUUGCAUUUCUCGAAUUCGGAUACAAACCGAAAAACGAAAUUGAGAGCCAAUUGUAACUAAAAUUCAAAUGGAGGACAAGGCGGGUACCGCCGGCGCCUUUGCUGUCGCCGGCAAAACCAUCCAAGAACUCGCAGUGGAAGGCCAAAAGCAUUUAGAAGAGACUAUCGAAUCUGCAUUUCAAAUCCUAUCCUCCAUGAACGACGAGCUCUGUAACCCUAAUCUUUGGUCAACAAAUCCCAAUCCAAAUUCGUCCACAGCCGGCGCCGCAGCUUCUGCAGCUAUUGCUAACGGUAUUGUUAAUAAUGGCAGCACUAGUGCUAUGAGCAACGGGCACCACACAGCAUCUAACGGCGACGUUUCGUCAGAUUCUUCCUCUUCGUCUUCGCAUCAGUUGGAUAUCGGUGUUGGGGUUGGCGCCCUAGAAGACGCUCGCAUGCGGUACAAAUCCUCCGUGGCUUCUCUGCGCUCUGUCCUCACUGCUAUUUCCAACUCCCAGAAGGUAAUUAAUUUUUAAGAGUGUUACUUUAAACCCUUUGCUCAUACCCUAGUUUUGGUGCCGAAGGCCCUAUGGAUCGAACAUUCUUGGUGGACUCUGAUAACUUUGAUCGCAAUUUUGCUAUCUGAUCAGUUUUCCUGAUUCUUUGUUCAAAAUUUAUAUGGUCUUCUAUUGGUAGGAAAUGUUUUUGGGUUUCUUUGGUUUUUUAGAAUAUUUUUGUUUUUGGGAUUGAAAGUAUUCAUGCUGUUUAUUUUAUUUUUUAUGAUAAAGUGGGGGAAAACAUGGUUGGAACACAGCUCAUCCUAAUUAGCAGCAAGGAUGCUACCACUGGACUACUGCAAAGCCUGGCUUUUUGAAAUUCAAGUUGCUGACUUUUUUCCUAAAUGAACUCAUGCUUGUGAUUUGGGUCAUUUGUUAUGAAAUAUUUCUUGUUAGGAAACGAAAAGUAGGGGAUGAGAUGUGCAAAGCUCUGGUAGUUUUUGUGUUGUACCCACAAUUUUCGGUGAAGAGUCUGGCGUUUCAUAUUUCUUUACGUUAGUAAUUUUGAUUCAAAAGUGAAAAAGGAGUAUAAAAGUGUAGCCAUGUUCGUGUUGGUUAGCUUAUUAUCCAUCUGAUCUGAUAUUGGUGGCCUUAUUUCGAUUUCUUUGCUGCCUCAAACGAGUUCCUUUAUUCUUCAUCAUCAGAAGUCAAAAAUUGUUGAUUAUGAAAUGUUACAUUGUUCAGGAUUUUAUUUGGAAUUGAGAUCAAGAGUGCCCUAGAAGAGUGAGUAGUGAGACUUAGGAGCAUUAGUUCGUGAAGAAUAUAUAGAUUCUCCAUUAGAAGAACAACCCAUGUUUCAAUGACUAAUCUAAUUUGGCUCUUUCAGAUUAGAGGUGGUAGUUACCUACAAGUACUUCUGUAACAGGGCAUGUGUAUGAAUACUAUCCUAAUAAGCCAAUACAUUUGACAAAGGUAGCAUUUGAUGAAAUCUCGCUUUGGUCACACUUUUACUGUCAUAUUUUGUUUUCCUAAUUCUUUGUUCAACAUUCAUGUGGUCAUAUAUUUGUAGGAAUUUUCUUGGUUUGCAUACAUUUUUAGAGCAUUUUUGCUUUUGCAUUCAAGAUUCUCAUGGCUAUUUCCUUUUUUUUUUUUUUUUUGAAACAUUGGGGAAAGAGGGAGUGGGGUUCAAUGGUGCUGAUUGUAUACAGCAGCAAAGGAUGCUAGGCUACUAGCAAGGUGGCUUUAUGGGAUUCAAGUUGGUGACUUUUUUUCCCUGUGAAUGCACCUAAUGCUUGGAAUUCACGUGUUGUUUGUAAUGGAAAAUGUUUCUUAGUUAGGAAAGGAAAAGUAGGGUAUAAGAUGUGCGAUACCUUGGUAGUUUAUGUUGUAUCCUACCAUUUCUGGUUAAUAAUCUGGUGUUCUAUAGUUUUCUUAGGUUUAUAAGUUUGAUUAAAGAGUGGGAAAAGAAUAAAGAGGGCAGGGUUGCAUUAUGCAGGAGUUAAUAUUGAAUGUAGUGAGAAAUUGGUACAAAAGAUUAGCCAUGUUCUUUUCGUUAUUCUGUUUUCUUUCCCUCCUAAUCUCUCCAACCAAUAUAAUUGGCCUUAUUUUUUUAUUGUUUGCUGUCUGAAAAGAAUAAACAAAAGGAAUCUGAUUAUCAUGAUGGUUAUUUUGGUGCUUGUUGGCAAAAGUGUCAAGGGUUAGAUACAAGAAAAUUUAGUUCUUUUUAAUUGAGGUCAAAGAGCUAGGAGCGACGAGAAGAAUGGAGUUCUCCUUGAAGGUCCUUGGGCUCUUUGUGAGUGAUUAAUAGUAUUGGACAUUUAUCUGCUUGGGCUACUAGCAACUUACUGAAUUGUACUUAUUUCUUUUAUUGGUUGACUUUUCUAUUUCCCUGCUAGAAUCCUAAAAGUUCUAAGUACAGACAGGUAGUAUUCUCACGGAUAUAGCUUAAUAUGAUUAUGGCACAUUUGAGAAUUUAACAACUGCAGCUGUAACAUUUAAUGUUCUUAUGUUUAUUUUUCUUACUAGAAUGCGCUUCCAUGGAUAUAUAAAAAAUAAACAAGACAUGGAUUGCAGGACUGAUGGCUAAAUUUCAAUUGCUGUAUCCUUAUGGUCACUAUUUUAGUUUCUUUUGUGUUUCCUUAAAUUAUUAUCCCUUGAAGAGGGCACUGGAUGAUGAUAUAAUUAAGGUUAAAAUACAGUAAACCCCCCUGUGAUUUACGAAAAGGACACAGAACCCGCCCCUAUCAUUCAAAAACACCCAAAUAAACUCCUUGUACUUUGGACUAAUGUGGACUUUGGAUGAAAAUCAACCAAAUUGACAGAGCGUGGAUUACACGAGCUUGACAAACGAGUGUAGAUGGCAGUGUAGGAAGGUAUUUUGGUAAUUGUACUUCUCUUCUUAGUUUCUUUCCCUUUUUUUUAACUUAUCUUUCGUUUUAAUCUUUUUACUAUGUUUUCCUUUUUCUACUUUUUUUCUUUUUUUUUUCUUCUUCUCCUGGCUCCCACAUAUCAAGUUAUCAACCCAGAAGCCAUUUGUUUCCCUUUUUUCUUUUUUCAUUUUUUAUGUUUAUUUUCCUUCUCCUUCAGCUGGUGCAGCAAACCAGAACCACCAACACCGGCUGCCAUUUCCACCACCUCCACCACUGGAUGCCACCCCUGUUGAUGAGCACUGUCAUUAGCAGAAUCUGGUGAAAUUCACAUACCAAACAUCGUUUUUUCCAGAGAUCACAAUUUUAAUGUUGGAUUUGGCCAAAAAGAAUCAGAGAGUAACAAAGUUGGCCAUGAAAGUGACGGAAUUUUUGCAAAAAAUUAUUGUUCCCUCCUUGUGCUUCCAUGGCUUACACCACACCACCAGUCUCCAUCCCAUCUCACCAUCACCAACACUCCUUUCCUCUCCUCGUUCUUCUCUUUUCCUCAUCCUCCAUAUCAGUCAAUCAUAUCUAAAAAUUUAGACCCAAUUUAGGUACAACACCAUCAAUUAUUACUUAACUUACAUGAAUAUUACACCAUCAAACUCCAUUAAAAAAUAUAGCUAGCAAACAAGCCAGCCCCAUUCAAGGAAAUUAUCCUUGAUGAUGAUUUACUGGAAUGGAACGAAGCACCAGAGAGAUAGAGAGAGAGAGAGAGUACAAAGGUAAUAGUACAGAUCUGCAAAAGUAUUUGAUGAAUAUUUGAUGAGCAGAGACAAGAAAAUCUCAAGUGUAUGUGAUGAGUAAUUUGUGCAGAUCUGCAAAUUAAUCUAAUCCCCAAACCCAUUACAAAAGAAUAAUUCAAAUAAGGUUUUUUUCUUUGUUACCUUGGGAUGAAAAUGGCGACCACGGUGAAGACGAUGAUGUAAGUGGCAGCGGUUGGUAUUAGCUGGAUUGAAGAAAGGAAGAAAAGAGAAAGGAAAAUGGAGCAGAAAAGAAAAAAAAAAGAAAGAAAGGGACAAAAAACAGGAAAAAGCGAAGUAUUCUAAUGUAGAUGAUGAUUGGAGAAGACGAUGUCCUUUUUUUAAAAAUUCAAUUUGGCCCCUCGAUUUCCUUUUUUAAUAGAAUAAAGUGAGAAAGUAUUUAAAAUUUCAACUGAGCCUUGAAUAAACUAAUGGUACAGCUUGCAACUAGGGAUAGUUUAGGAAUUUUUAUCCUUCUAUCAAUUCAGAUGAUUUCCGUCUUCACAUCAGUCCAAAGCACAAGGAAUUUAUUUGGGUGUUUUUGAAUGAUAGGGGGGUUCCAUGUCCUUUUCGUAAAUCACAGGGGGGUUUGCUGUAUUUACCCUAUACUUAAUGGUCCAUAUAGUUCAGGCAGGAGAGUGAGAAUUAGCUUAUUGAAGAUGUAUUCCAUGAAUGGAAGGUGAGAUUGGUUAUUUAAUUUGAAAAUGAGAUCAGGAAUGCUCCAGAAGGGAGAGAGUUAGACUCAGGAAUUAUUGUACUUUAGUCAUGAGUAUACAUAUCUUUUCGACAUGGAGAAUAUGGUAAAUGCUUACUUAUACAUCUGAUCAUAUUUGAUCAAAUCCAGGUAGUGUAGCCAUUAUCUCAUUUCCAUUUCCAAGCAUUUUUUGAUAGCUUUCAUAAGUGUCAAUUCCAGAAGUGGUAGAGGAAAUGGCAAAGAAGUGCAAUCUAUGUUUCAAUUUACUAAUCUAAUUUGGCACUUCCAAAAUAGAGCUGGUACUUACAUGCAAGUACUUCUUUAGUAGGUCAUAAGGUUCAAUAGUAUCGUAACAAGCCAAUACAUUUGACCAAGGUAGUAUUUGAGUAAAGCUCGCUUUGACAGGUGGGUGAUGUAAUGGAGGGCCUAUUCUGAUCAAGAAUCAUGCUCCUAGACUGCAAGGCAGGGUAGCUCAAGGAUCUUGAGAAGGUGCAUGGAAGGCUUCAUGUCUAUAUUGCCAUAUCUCAGGACUGCAGUUUGAUCAAGUCUCAAGUUGAUUAAUUAUUCAAUUGGUAUUUCCCUUGGGACAAACAGGUCCAGAUUUGCCAUGUGAAAGCUAGUUUACUAUUCUGGUUGGUUAAGUUUUAGGUUUGAAGUCAUGUUGUGGGGUGAUGGAGAGUAUUGGUUAAUGCUUGGUGGCUACCAUGUAGAUGAGAAAAUCUUUGUAAAGACCAUUUCCUGCGAAGAUAUGUUCUUGUGACAGGCAAUGGGCAAGUACCGCCAUAAUGUAAAUGGCACUCUGAAGUAAGGACUUGACAUCUGUAGUGGGAGCCUUAGUAGCCACAGGUUGAAUGAUGCUGGGUUUUAUGUGUUGUCCCUGUGAUUGCCCUUUUGCAAACUGAAAUUUUAUUUUUUGUGUUCAUGGAACAACUAUGGAAGAACAUUAUGCUAUCUUUUGGUGGAUUUUUGUUAGAAAUUGAAGUUGCUUUAUUGUUAAUUAGGGACUUUCUUGUUCAAAAUCUUAUGUAGGUAACUUUGGUUUCUUUGGUACCUUUGACCUGAGUAAAUUCUCAUCUUAAAUUUGUGAAGGCAUCUGAAUUGAGUUAGUUAGUCACGCUCUUAAAUUAGGUAAAAUGCAUGCAUUUUAUCUUCCUCGGGCUGAUAUUUAGAGUACUAUAUUUUGCUCAGAUGAUCAUUUUUAUGUUAUCUGCAUCUUAUUCCAUUUGUGUUGUUUGUUAAAUUUAUUCUGCUUGCUGGAAGUAAUUGCUUCCUAUUUUCAAUAAGCUCACUGUUUCUUUCAUUAGAUUUUCAUUGCCAAUAUUAUCCCAUUUUUGAGAAUGGUGAACAUUUGAAAUCUACAUUUUUAAGGCGGUUAAUUCCUGGUAAACAGGUAAAAGCUUCUGAAAUGGUUUCAACAAGUGGUUCAGGUUCUCCCACUGAUCAAGCUGAUAUCGAGAAGCUGGAAGAGCAGGCUUCUGCCUUGAGAAAGGUAUUUCCACAUUGUUUCAAUUUCUGAUUGGCAAUUGUGUUUCCUUGUUUUCGCAUCUAGUGGCUGUAAGUGUGCAGAGUUGUUCCAUAGGUUUUUUCUGUCAUGUCUUUAGUUUUACCAACAAAGUUGUGUGUAAGAGAAACUUUUUUGUUUUAUUUCUGUGUAUUCCUUUUCUAGAGUGGGAGGGUCUUGUAAUAUAUAGUGACAUUUCAUGGUUUUUUUCCCUCCCGUGUUAGAAUAUAGACUGAUACAGUAGGAUGGAUUUCAAUUUAACGAAUUUCUGAACUGUUGUGGUAAUCUUCCUAAAUUUUUGUGAUGGAUUUGUCUUCCAAAUUUUUAGGCACUGGUCGAAAGAAACAAGUAUCUCAAACUUCUGAUCGAUCAACAACGAGAUCUAAUAAGUGAUAUAUGUACAUGGCAGAGUCCAUGUUCUGUAUGAGUUGGUAUUGGCACUUCUACAGCAUAACACAACUCAAUGGAAGGGAGGCUUGAGUGAGGCAUUUCCUGGGGGUUCAUCAGAGUAUCUUCCUUCGCUUGAUGAGGCUACCAAUUGUAAAAGCUCAUCAAAUGAAGGGCAAAUGAGGAGCCAAAAUUUCUGAAGGUUGUGGUCUGACUUAACAUCUAAAAGCCUCUAAUAUGCUGGUCUUUAAAUCUUCAGCCAAUCAACGAUGGGUUACUUUAGUUAGAUUGUGAAGCAAAUUAGAGAAGAUUUAGCACUAGGCAGACUGAAUUUGCCUCAUUUUCUCAGCGAACGGAUUUGCUCUACUUGCAGAGAAAAUUUCCCUUUUCCUGGCUCCUUUCGUUGGUCAGUAUUGUAAUAUAAUGGGAAACUUGUUCUUGUUGAGGUAGCUUUUGUAAAGUUCUCUGCAGACAUACCACUUCGUAUUUGUGGCCUUCAAUUUGCAACAAAAGCAUGACACAAAAUUCAUUUAUUGGGCAAGUUUGGUAAGCAUCGUUUCUUUAAGUGGGCAGGUUUGUUAAAAUUGGUCAAGUUAUUGGAUGAUGAGAAGAAAAGGGGGGGGGGGGGUUGGUAAAUUCUCCUCUUUUAACGAUUUAUGUUGGAUUACGAGUAAAAAACCAGGAUUAACCAUGAACUUUGACAUCAUUACUGUUGAUGCCUCACCUUCUUGAUUUGACAUGCUCAAAAAUUAAAAUAAAAAGCUGCAGCCUGCUUCAACUAUGAUUCAUCUACAGGAUGGUAAAUUCUAUCCUUUGUAAAGGUUCGGUUUUUUGAGUUACUCGAGGAGAUUUAAGAUGUAAAUUCAGAGAGAAUGGUUCAUGUUCCACUGUGCUUAUGAUAUGUACAAUGUUCCCCAGCAUUUCAGCCCUAGAGUCAUCUCUCAUAUCCAUGGAUCUUGUAUAAUGCCGAUUCGUAUGAAGAAUGUUCGAGACAAAGGCCAUAAUAUUGUUCAUUGGAACUUGGAAGGUCGUCCAAUUCUAAUAGAAUCAAUACCGUUAGCAAAGGACGGUAUGGGAGAGUGGAAUCGGCAUGCCAACAAGCUCCGUCCAAACAUGGAAAAGAAUAUGUAAACACGUCUGAAAAAUCAAAGAGGGAUCUAUUUCUGUACAUUGAGAAUAAAUAAUAGACCAGGAAUUACAAUGAACUAAGCUGCCGCAUUUCCACCAUCAUUAAAAUAGGCGGAAUAUGGUGAGUUUGUCUCUGUUUGUUCAUCAUCAGGCAGUCAAGCAGAACUAUAUAAAUGGUCAGAACCCGUAGCUCAAUGCAAAUGGCUGCAUAGCUGCACUCUGUCUCUACUUGUUCAUCAUCAGGCAGUCAAGCAGAACAAUGUAAAUGGUCAUAACUCAUCAUUCAAUGCAAAUGGCUGCACAGCUGAACCUUUCUCUGCUUCAGUCCUUCAGGAGUAUAGCUUUCUACAGUAGAGAGUAAACUUGCAGCACUAUCUCAUUCUUUGCUUUCAUGGCCUCGAAUUACCGGGCCACAUAAUCUUUCAGCUAAUCUAGCAACAUCCAGCUAUAGGGACAAAUCUGUCCGCGUGAGGUGACAUUGGGAGGCAGCUCACAUCCUCACUGCUUUUAUGGUAUAGAACUUUCUGCACAUAGUAUAAAAGGUAGCACUGCGAGGCCCUAACAACCUCUUCAUCAACUUUAGUUAUCCAAGCAUCAUCACAUUUAAACCAUUGGUUUCUCAACCGCAAAUAGGUAACAUAAUGACCAGACUCUAACAUCCCUGAAUGGGUGACCACGGCAAAAACCUCAAAUUCUGUGUUACUAUCUGAUUCAUCACCCUCAAAAGCAAACAUUCUGUUUCCAAAUUUUUUCCUCACAACUGAAGAAGAUAAAUAUGGUUUCAUGUCUAAGGAAAAAGGGAACUGCAAAUGCCGAUCGAUUUUUCUUGACAACCUUUUAAUUGGAAAAUGUUCAAAGCGUUUUAUAUGCAAACAUAGAACCAAAGGUAGCUUUUUGAUUGACAAUUGCUUUAAAGCAUCCUGUUUCUCUUGACAGUUUUCACAGUACAAUUUUUGAUCUGAUCCUAGCUUCUCUAGUCUUGUAAAGAGGUCCAAGCAGCCCACAAGAGUAGAAGUACCUGCGCUCUCAUUUAGCUUGCUUGGCUUACCAACAUUUAUAGGAUAAGAUGUGUGUGUAUCUAAAUCGAGAGAAAUAUCCACACAAGGAUCAUAAGUUGAGGAAGUGAACCCACAAGAUGCACAGGUGACAUCUGACCGCACUAGCCCCGAGAAAGCUCUAUGAAUAAUACACUGGCAAUCUCCAUAAUCUGUGCAAGAGAAAUGCUUUACGUCAGUGAAAAGAAGGCAGAGAAAAGAUUCAGUUUUUUUUUUAAACAGUUGAAGUCUCGUCCUUAUCCCCUUGUUGAAUAUUGAUCAAAUCAUCCAUGAUACUUGGCGGUACCAAUAAAAUCAAAACUUAGUGACAACAUUUACACCCAUGGCAUGAAACUUGUCAUCCCUCGGCUAAGCAAUGCAGCCAAAUUUUAUCAGUUACAGAGACCUGAUAACCACAGAUCUGCUGCAUCACUCAUGGAACACCGAGCCACAGAUGGUUCCUUGUAAACCAGAACUGACUAGUAUCCCAAACUGAUAGGAAGCUAAGAAAGACCUAUCCUGGCAUUCGAUUACCUCUGAUUGCGUGGCUUGCCUUCCCUUCUUUCUCAUGGAUCCUAUCCAACAUUGAGAUGAAGAACUCAUGGGCAUCCUGCUGCUCAUAAUUAGCAAGAUUUUCAGAGUGCUGCCACCAACUGCAGACAAUUAUCGGUCACAUUUAGUUCACCAAAUUGCUAAAAAACAUCAAUACAUAUAUAACAAGAAAAUAAGCCCUGAUUAGAGCUGUGGCAGGUGACCAACAUAGGAAAAUUAGUUGAGGGGCAUUAUAGAGAAAGUAUUGUUUAAUAUAAUCAACUCCACAAAUUAUACUACUCUAACUUAAGCUUUUAAACAGUAAAUGACGCCAGUUCAGAUUAAAACAUUCUAUAAGGUAAACCUUUGCCCCUUCCAUCCCUACUUACAACUGCGAUUCAGCCUGAACUUAAUCACUGCAAUGCAGCUAUAUCAACCACUAACUAAUACAGCAUAUCCAUUGGUUCAGAUUCGUACAACAAUAUCCAGAAUAUACUUUAGUAAGAGAUCAUUGAAACAAAUUGCAUAACUUGCAUCUCUAGCUCAGAAAUAGAAUAAGAAGGAAAUCAAAACUAACAAACCCAAGUACUUUAACUGUGAUCAAUUGUAUAAAAUCAGCAAACCUGUAAAGGAACUGAGCUGGACUAUAGGGUGUCCGAUCGCCAGAAAACACAGCUGAGAAAAUAACAUCAAUGUCACAAGGCAAACACAGUCUAUCAUUGGAUCUCUUACGGCACAUUUCGCGGUUGUGCCUUCCACUAAGAUAGUAAUUCCUCAAAGGGGGAGCAUGAAGCAAUGCUUGCAACACAGAAUUCAUAAAACAAGUAUUCCCCAAAUUGUUCAAACCCCUCAGAC